GAGAUUAAGAGGAAUUUUUCGGUCGGGUAAUAUGGCCUCAAAGCAGCCAUAUUCUUCCAGGGCUUCGCGAACUUUGGCCUUCACGAAUUCCCAGGUUUCUGUUUCUUGUUUAAGGUUGGAGAAAUCUAUUACAGGGAGCUUGAUAAUUUCGGAACCCAUUUUUUUUUCUUUUAUAUAUAUUUUAAAUAUUAAUAUACACAUAUAUUUAUAGAGAAUGAAUAUGAAUUGCCUUUUUGUUACUUAUGUAGUAGUAAGCUGCAGGCAGUGUCAACGUUUCUCAAUUUCAAUUGCACCAAAUAUUAGGCCGGGUUAUAUCUUUAUUCAAUUUUUAGCUACAACUAAAAGCCCUAUUUAUCUAACAAUUUAAUGUCUAAAGCUAUUGUUAGGCAGAAAUGAGAAGCGGUUUGUACACGCAACGUAAUUUUACAUCCAUGCACGUUCACCGGUAGGCUGGUAAUUUGACCUUAGCUGAGGGGGUUUCGUAAUUUACCAAAACAAAAUGAUUCAAUUUGUCUUUUUUUUUUUUUUUUUUUUUUUUUUUUAACCUUUUUUUGUUGAACUUACGGGGUGUGGAAUGAUGAAGCUGGAGAAAAGAGUCCGUAGAGUGAUAAAGAAACCGGCGAUUAUCGAAUCAUUCCGUAAAAGGUGAAGUACAACGGACUGAAGUACCUGAUGAACAUAAACAACAAGAAUUGUGUCAUUUUACAUCAAAAAAAAUCCAACACCAGUUGCACAAAUUGCGAUUGAGCCACACGAUCUCGCGUCAGGUGGCAUUGACUAAAUUUCAGAGGGGGGUUCUUCCUAUUUUAUUUAUCAUAGGGGUUUUUUCAUUAUUUCGAGAUUAAACUGGGGUAAUUUUUGCAGUUUACUCUUGCAAAUAUAAACCAAAAUCAAGAUUAAUAAGAGUAGUUAUAUUUCAUGGUUCACCGAACAGAACGGGAACGCCCUCUCUGUUCCGGAUUCCGUAACAAAACCGGUUCCAUGGCAAAGAACGUACCCUUAAGUUAAAUAGAAAUACGAAAAAUCGUAAAUUACACAAACCCUCUGAGGUAUGUCUAAUUACCAAAAAAAUUCCAUUCUUUUAUUUUUCUGGCAAAAUGUUAAAUCAGAAGCCCAUUUUAAGUUACCGUUAUUGCUGCAGAAAAAAAAAAGAAAAAAAAAGAGCCGUUGGUUGCAAUAGAUGGAGAGCUCCCUCCAAAUUUUGAUUCCCCAUUUUUCGGACCCUAUAUUUGUCAAAGAGAGCGGACCCCAAAAUGGGGCAUGUUUUAAUAACUCAGUUGGAAAUUGGAAUUAAAGAAAAAUUUGAUUUCUACCAUCAAAUUGGCGGUUAUUGCAUUUGGGUCCUUGUUUAGGGUCAAUAACAUUGUGGAUGCUCUUAGACAUCCGGUGAUUAUCACUAGGUGUAGCAUCGCAAUAGCCUGCUUCACGUGUACCGAGAAAAAUGGUAGAGAAAAAGAAAGAAAGAAAGAAAAAAAAAAGAAUGAAAAUUAUUUACAAGAAAGCCCAUUAUUUUUCAUAAUUAUAUCCACCUCCCUGCAAUUUGUAGAUUUCUUACAUUAACACCCUUUUGUAGGGGUAAAGAUGUAAAAAAUUUACAAACUGCAAGGGCUGGAUGUAAUUCCUAACAAAUAAGGGGUUGUAAUUUACUCAUAUUAUUAUAACUUUUGCAAUAGAAAGUUCAGAAAUUCAUGAUAACACCUUAUUAACAAAAUACAAACAUAAAUGUUUACAAAUCUCGGGUAAUAUAACGGAGAAUCUCAUGAUGAAAUUAAACAUAAACGGACCAUGCAUAAACUGAUAUAUAUGCUUAUUCGCGAAUACGAAAUACAUUAUUGUUUCGGAAACAAAUUCUCGAGAUUUUAAUUCCUUAUAUUAUCAGACAACGACCCCACAAUGAUCCUUUAGAGCGUUGGGAGAAGUUUUAGUGGCUUCAACGUAGUAAAAAUUAAGAAAUUGAACGUAAUCGUAGGGCUUGUAGAGUAAAGGGUGCUCUUCAUCCACCAUCUCUUUUGGUGCCUUAACUAUGUAUCCCGAUUUCGGAGAGGCAAAUAGUCCGAUCGAGUAUCUAGCUUUGUCUCCGGUCAUCAUCACCCUGUGAAAAGGAGCAUGCACCCGACCAUUUGUCCACGCCUGCGCCAACAUAUAUAUAUGUAACCUAAACCUUACAAAAAAUAAAUUAAUUAACAGUAAAUUGUGAUGUGAAAAAAGAACUUACACGAAGAGAUUCACCCGCCAUGACAAUAAAAGAAUUAGGCGAGGUCUCAAUCCAAUUAUCCCCAUCUUUUGUCUGCAUUUCCAACCCGGUGACGUCGUCUUGAAAUAAUAUGGUGAGGGUAUUCAUAUCUAUGUGGGGUAUGAGUCCAAGCUCAGUCUCGUUCGUUUUAGGACCAUCGUAUUUUUGAACUCGUACCACAUAGUUAGUCGAAUCAAUAUGCUCGUCCAAGUACUUUUUUAUUCCAAUAUUCUCUAACACCAUUGUCCUCACAAUCUUGUUCAAUUCGAGUAACUCCUCCGAAAUCGAUCUUAUGCUCUCGCUUGUCAAUAAACCAAGAUAAAAAAAUAUCAAAAGAAAAAGAAAGAAAAAGGGCUAAAUAGAUACCGUACAAGAUGUAAUUGUUCAAUUAAUUAGUUAUAGUAUAUUAACCAAACAUGUUAUUAAAUUAGCCCCGACCGAUUAGUUUGAACCGUACAUCUGUACACAAUCACACACACUCAUAAGUGUGUGUGAUAAUAUAUGCUUGUACAAGCAUAAUAUAUGCUUGUAUUAUUAAGUAACCUUUAGAAUUAUUUUUGCUUCCUAAAGUAAUUAAAAAAAAAAUCAAGGGCAUUGCCUCCGAACCCCAGCCCCCCAACAAAAACUCCGUGAAUUGGGCCGUGUGUUAUGUGCUUAGUGAGUAGUUAUCUAAUCACAUAGAAGGUUCAAAUCCACUUGAUGUAAAUAAUCAGUUGUAACAUCUAACUUACUGAAUGUAUUAUGUAAUUCGUUUUAUGUAAUUAUUUAAGCGAUCAUGGAAUAUAGCACACUGCCACACACAAUUAAAUUAAACCAGCUAGAGCUAGUUAUUGAAUUAAUAGGAGAAGGAAAUAAAGUACAGUUAAACCUCUAUAAAUUAAUACAGUCGGGACUAACAAAAUUCUAUUAAUUUAGCGAAAUAUUAAAUUAUCGAACUAAUAAUUUAGUAGGUUAUUACCGAAUCUGAACCAGAAGAAACUAUUAUUUAAGCGAGAUUAUUAAUUUUUCGAGGUUCAACUGUAGGUGGUUAUUAAUGGGAUGAUGAUGAAGAAGCGUACCAAAAAGUCGGAUUUCCGUUAUCGGACCACAUUAGUUCGGCAAAGGCUUCGAUGUUUCCGGGUACUAAGGCAUCGUUGAUUGCUAAGCUUUCGUACAGCGGAACAACUGCAUCUUGUCCAAUGUAGCCAUGGUAAGUUGUGUCCGACUUAUUGAGUAGUUUGGUCUGUAGAGGGAGAUCGAAUAGUUGUUGAAGCACAUUAACUAGUGAAUAUUUUCGGUUUGAAAAAAUGGCCUCAAAGCAACCAUAUUCUGCUAGGGCUUCACUCACUUGGGUUUUCACUGAUUCCCAGGUUUCUGUUUCUUGUUUAAGGUUGGAGAAAUCUAUUACAGGGAGCUUCAUCCUACUUUCAGAACCCACUCUCUCUCUCUCUCUCUCUCUCUCUCUCUCUCUCUCGGAAAUGAUGGGGGGUUUUGUUUUGUAGUUUCCAAGUUUUGGUUGAGGUAUUUAUUGAAAAAAUAAUGAGGAAAUUGCAGUUUUCAUCCUUCAAGGUUGCACAAAUUUCACAGUUGGUCUUCUAUGUUCACAAAAAACACAUUUAAUCCCUCAUGUUCCUACAAUUUAAUAUUUUUGGUUAUUUCCGUCAAUUUACAGUUAGUCCGUUAGUUAUGGCAGUGAUGGAACACAUACUUGAUUCCAUUAGUUUUACGGGAGCUUGACGGAAAGGACUAAAAAUAUUGAAUUUGUGAACAAUAAGGGACUAAAUGUGUUUUUUGUGAACAUGGGAGACCAAAUGUGAAAUCGGUGCAAACUUGAGGGAUGAAAACUGUAUUUUUCCCAAAGAAGAAUUUAUGAAUUGUUAGCGUUUCAGCAUAUCUAAACUCGCUUAUUUCACUUUGCACCCUUGAACUUAGGCUAAAUAAUGAAAAAUACCCCACCUAUCCGUAAUAACCAAAAUAUCCCUCUGAUUAACUGUUAAUAAAGUUUUUUAACAGAAAAUAUGUACGGUCUAUUAUACCUUAUGAUAAAUAGGUGAGAAAUAAAAGAAAAUAUAUCAAAUUGUGUAUAGUCUGUUGACUCUGUUCCCUGGAAUUAAAAAAAUUCCGUGAAAAGUCACAUUAUAAGGAAGUUGGUGUAGAACAAUGACAAACUUUAGAGAAUUUUUGGUAAUUGCGAAUAGGUGGAUGUGUUUCCAACUAUUUAGCCUAGGUCCAGGAGGGCUCUCGUAAUCUACCCAAAAUAAAUUUGCACUAUUCACGUGAUCAUUAAUUUAAUUUGAAGAAGUUGACUUUUCAGAAAUUAUUUGGGUUUUCUUAUUUUAUUGUUUUAGACGAUUAUUUAUGGUCUCAUAUCACUGAAAAAUUAAAUGUUUUGUUAUUUUUUAAUAUUAUAACACCCCUUAGAAAGAGUAUAUUUUUUAGCAAUUAAUUGAAUAUCUUAAUUGGUAUAGGGUGGCUCAUUAAAUGGUUACAUGAUGUGGGCGGCGUGUGUUUUUUGGGGACAAUUUGCAAUUAAGUUAAGUUUAUAAAAUUUAUCAUAAAUUAUAAUUUGGCCCUAUUUGUUUUUUGGAUUCAAAUUGGCCUCUAUUUUAUGUAAUUCUGAUUUUAUAUUAUUUUAUUCAGGGGUAGACUUGUCCUCUUACCUUUCGUCAAUGAAUAAAAUCACAAUGGGUCAAGUGUGUUAUUUUAAAAGAAAACCACAGGAAGGAUUUUGCUAGUUUAUUUAUCAUAGGGGGUUUUAUACUAUUUUGAGAUUAUACAGGGGUACUUAUUGCAAAUUACUCAUUAUUACAAAUUAACCCAUUAGUAUUUUCACGCAUGUCUCUGUUUGUUGGUUGCGAUUGAGUUUCCGUAUAUUUAUGUGCAAUCUACGGUUUCCGGACUAAUUGUUUAUCCGACGAUUGGAUUCGAAUGGACAACAACAAAAUUCUUGUUGUUAAUGUUCAUCCAGGUACUUCAUCUGUUGUACUUCACCUUUUACGGGAUGAUGUCGAUUGCCGUGUAACCAAAUCAAAUUGAAUCAUUUUUUUUUGGUAAAUUACGAAAUCCCCUCAGGUAAGGUCAAAUUACCAGCCUACCGGUGAAUGAAUGCGCAUGGAUGUAAAAUUACGUUACGUGUACAAACCGCUUAUCAUUUCUGCCUAACAAUAGCUUUAAACAUUAAAUUGUUAGAGAAGUAGGGCUUUUAGCUGUAGAUAAAAAUUGAAUAAAGAUAUAGCCCGGCCUAAUAUUUGGUGCAAUUGAAAUUGAGAAACGUUGACACAGCCUGCUUAGGGAGAAUUACAUUUUUCACCCCUCAUAUUUGGCUCGAUUCUACUUUCGGUCCUCUUGUUUCAAAGUGAACAAAUUUCACCUUCAAGAUUUAAUUUUAAACACAUUGGUCCCCUCCGUCACAUGUCCAUUUACAUCUAACUGAAAAUACCAUUUUGGGGGCAAAAUUGAAAUUUAAAAUUGUUUUAGGGCUAGAAAUAAAUUAAAAAAUUUAAGUAUUAUUUAUAAUUAUUUUUUUUAGUAAUACUUAGUGUAACAAAAAUAAAUUGAAUAAAAUUUAAUUUUCACAAAAAAAAGAAGAAAAAAUACAAAAUAUAUUAAAUACGAAUACUUAUUGCAACUUACGCUUUGUAACUAUGAAAGUUAUUAGCUGAAUUGUUGGUUAACGUUUCACUAAUCACUAGAUCUAAUCUGAGUGAUAAUUUAAUUCAAAAUAAAAUCAUGUCUCUGUGAAUUAAAGAAUAUGAUUAUUGAUCGCGGAAGCAGGAGACUCGGUUAGUGUAUCGGAUACUUGACGGCCCCGUUAAUUCAACUUUGACAUAAAUAAAAAAAAAAUCAUUAUCCACGCGAUCAUUAAUAUAAUUUGUAGGAGUUGAUUUCCCGAACUACGUGAUAAGCAUUCAUUUUUCACGGCAAGUAUAGCACAGAAACACAAAUGUAAGUUCAAAUAUUGCGACACGUAAUACAAUUUGCGGUCAAAUUAAAUUAUAUUCCACACUAUUUUUGGAUGGCUCCUUCCAUUUUGGCGCCACCUUCCUUGCAAUACUCGACGAACUCCAAAUGACGGAAAGAUUUGAAUUUUAAUGGAUUAUUAUGGUCGACAAGCUCUUUCGGCACUUGCAGAACACCGCCAAUGAAAGAGAAAACUCCGACGGAAUGUUUCGCCUUGCUUCCUUUAGCGACGACUAUGUGUAGUGGGUUAUAUUGUGUUCUAUAUAUGUAUAUAUCGUCGAGAAUCGAAAAAAAUCAUACUGGAGAUAGUGGCGGAGCCGACACUGGGUAGCUAGCCCACCACUCACUUCUUAAAAACCAAUUGUUAUGCAGUUUACUUGUGUCCGAGUAGUGUACUUUGAAGUUGGGAACUGGAAUGUAAUUUUCGAUUUUUGAAAAAUGUUCUUUGCUAUUUAAUAAAUUUAAGGGGUUUUUUUUUUACUAUUUUAUUUAUCACAGGGGAUUUCUCAUUAUUUCGAGAUUACACAGGGGUAGUUUUUGCAGUUUACUCUUCUAAUAAUAUAAACCAAAUCAAGAUUAAUAAGAGUAGUUAUAAUUCAUGGUUCACCGGAACGGUCGGAACAGAACGGGAACGGCCCUCUCCAUUGCGGACUUCGUAACAACCAUUCCACAGCAAAGAACGUUGAGAAACGGGAAAAAAGCUGCCAGAAAGCCGGGACAAUGCGAUAAAUAGGAACGGAAUUGGAACGACAUGAAUCAUCUAAUUUACUGUUAGAGCCGAGAUCCCAGAACACAGUCCCAAUGAUCAGUGUGCCAUGAAGGCGGUGAAGAAAAAACGAACGGCAGUGUAAAAAGGUUGAGACUUGAGAAUAUUGUGUAUGAAAAUAAAGUUCACAGAUCAGAGCUUUGUUCCUCAUGGUAAUAUUUAAAGUUGAUAGAAAAUAAAAAUUAGCGUAAAUUACCGAAAGCCCCAUGAACUAAGGUCUAAUUACCAAAAACCACUCCAACUAACGGUUAAACCAUAUCUUUUGACACAAAACUGUGAAAACUGAAAAGGUCUAUUUAUACCCUUAAGAUAAAUAGAAAUACAAAAAAAUGUUAAUUACACGAAACCCCCUGAGGUAUGUCUAAUUACCAAAAACUGAAUGACUAUUAUUAUAACUUUUAAAAUAUUAGAAAGUUCAGAAAUUCAUACAACACCUUAAUAAUACAAUACAAACAUAAAUGAUUACGAAUCUCGGGUAACAUAACAUAGAAUCUCAUGCUCAUGAUGAAAUUAAACAUAAACACACCAUGCAUGAACUGAAAUAUAUGCUUAUUCGCAAAUACGAAAUACAUUAUUGUUCCGAAAACAAAUUUUCGAGCUUUGAAUUCAUUAUAUUAUCAGACGACUCCACAAUAAUCCUUUAGAGCGUUGGGAGAAGUCUUACUAGCUUCACCGUAGUAAUAAUUAAGAAACUCAACGUAAUCGUAGGGUUUGUAGAGUAAGGGGUGCUCUUCAUCCACCAUCUCUUUUGGAGCCGUAACUAUGUAUCCCGAUUUUGGAACGGCAAAUAGUCCGAUCGAGUAUCUAGCUUUGUCUCCGGUCAUCAUCACCCUGUGAAAAGGAGCAUGCACCCGACCAUUUGUCCACGCCUGCGCCAAUUAAUACAUAUAUAGGUUAGGUUGCCAUAUAUAUAUAUAUAUAUAUAUAUAUAUAUAUAUAUAUAUGGUAAAUUACUCCCACACCAAUGAGGUAUUCUUUAGGUCCCUAUGGUAUCGAUAAUUACACUCACCCCCUGAAACAGAGUUAGAAACUCUAAUGAAUGGACUAUUACUUUUAGCUAGUGGCGGGCACAACAUAAAGUUAGGGGGUGACAUGGCUCUCCCAACAUUUCUUAAAUUAUCCAAUAUAGUUGUUUGUUGUCUCCACCACUUCCUGAAACUAAUUAAUAGUCUGUUAGAACUAUAUCGGAAUAACGUAUCCAAUGCAUUCUCCCAGUAAAGUUUCUAACUAUGCUUCAGGAGGGUGAGUAUAAUUAUCGAUAACACAGGGACCUUAAAGUUAUGUAAACAUAUCUCAGGGGUGUGGGUGUAAUUUACUAUAUAUAUAUUACGGUAAAUUGCGAACACCACCUAAGUAUUUAUGAAAUUAAAUUGACUUAUUCAGUUAAUUAGGUGAAAUAAUGUAGCGAAAAAAUAACUUACCCGGAGAGAUUCACCCGCCAUGACAAUAAAAGAAUUAGGUGAGGUCUCAAUCCAAUCAUCUCCAUCUUUUUUCUGCAUUUCCAAUCCGGUGACGUCAUCUUGAAAUAAUAUGGUGAGGGUGUUCAUAUCUAUGUGGGGUACGAGUCCAAGCUCAGUCUCGUUUGUUUUAGGACCAUCGUACUUUUGAAAUCGUACCACAUAGUUAGUCGAAUCAAUAUGCUCGUCCAAGUACUUUUUUAUUCCAUUAUUCUCUAACACCAUUGUCCUCACAAUCUUGUUCAAUUCGAGUAACUCCUCCGAAAUCGAUCUUACGCUCUCGCUGGUCAAUAAACAAAGAUAAAAAAUCUCAAAAGAAAAAAGAAAAAGAAAAAAGGACUAAAUCGAUACCGCACAAGAUGUAAUUGUUAGAUUAGUUAUAUAUAGUAUAUUAACCUAACAUGUUAUUAGCCAUGAACCGUAGUUCUAUACACAAUCACACACUCAUGUGUAUGCAGGGGCGUAACUAAAGGCACCCCAAGGGAGGCAGCCGCCCCUCCAGAAGAAAAAAAUGAUUUAUUUUUAUUAGUUUUUGAUUGGGUAAUUGGCAUUUGCACCCUCCAAUUAUGCUUAUUUGGCACUUUGCACCCUUACAUUAAAAAUAUGGUCGAUAGCACCCUCAAAUUAAGAUUUGCUUGGCACAUUGUACCUCAAGACACUUUUCUGCUAAAAUUUGCGUACGAAAAAAUUAUUUUACCAUAAUUCAAUGGGCAAAAUGGUCAACUAUUGUUAAUUAAAUCCGUGAAAGAGAAAAAAUAUAAAUAUAUUCUGUAAUUAAAAAGGAUGGUAGUUAAUUUAUCCACAAAUUUACCCUUUCAGUUCCCUAAAAUCUUUUUAUUCUACUAUAUUAGAUUAUGGGGUGCACUAUAUGGCAGGUAACGCAAUCUGUCACAUUUUUAAUUUGAGGGUGCAAAAUGACAAAUGAGUAUAAUUGCAGGGUGUAAAAUACCCACUUAUAAUGCAUGAUUUUUAAAUUGAAGGAGUUUUAAUGAUGAUAUAUAAUUAUAUAUAUAUAUAUAUGCUUGUAUUAUAUUAACUAAACUUUAGAAUUAUUUUUGCUUUCUAAAGUAAUUCAAAAAAAAACGGGGGCACUACCCCGAACUCCCGUAAACCGUAAAUCACACCCCCCCCCCCCCUAACAAAAACUCUCUGGAUCUGCUCCUGUGUAUGUGUGCUAGGUGAGUAAUUAUUUAAUCACAUAUAGGUUCAAAUCCACCCGAUAUAAAUAAUCAAGCGUAACAUCUAACCACCACCUACCCAAACCCGUCCAGAGCUCAUUUUAUAAUUAUUGAAACGAUCAUGGGAAUAUAUAUAUAUAUAUAUAUAUAUAUAUAUAUAUAUAUAUAUAUAUAUAUAUAUAUAUGCACACGCAAUUAAAUUAAACUAGCUAGAUCUAGUUAUUGAAUUCAUACGAGAAGGAAAUAAUGUAGCAUAUUAAUUGGAUGAUGAAGAAGUGUAGCGUACCAAAAAGUCGGAUUUCCGUUAUGGGACCACAUUAGUUCGACGAAGGCUUCGAUGUUUCCGGGUACCAAGGCAUCACUGAUUCCCAAGCUUUCGUACAGCGGAACAACUGCAUGUUGUCCGAUGUAGCCAUGGUAAGUUGUGUUUGACUUAUUGAGUAGUUUUGUCUGUAGAGGGAGAUCGAAUAGUUGUUGAAGCACAUUAACAAGUGAAUAUUUUGGGUUUGAAAAUAUGGCCUCAAAGCAACCAUAUUCUGCUAGGGCUUCGCUCACUUGGGUUUUCACUGAUUCCCACGUUGCUGUUUCUUGUUUAAGAUUGGAGAAAUCUAUUACAGGGAGCUUCAUCCUACUUUCAGAUCCCAUUCUCUCUCUCUCUCUCUAGAUAUCUCUCUCUCUCUCUCUAGAUCUCUCUUGGAAAUUCUCUCCCUCUCUUGGAAAUGAUGGGGUUUUUGUUUUGUAAGUUUUCCAAGUUUUAGUUGAGGUAUUUAUUGAAAAAAACAAGAAUUAUUAAUUGUCAACGUUUCAGUACUAGAUUUAAAUCAUUUAAUUCCACUUUGCACCUUGAAAUGUAACAUUUUGACACUAUGUAUCACUGGAAAAAAUAUUGAUAGCACUUUACGUUUUCGAAAAGCAAUAAAUCAUUCAGAACCAUGAAUUGAAGAUUUAAAACUCAAUGAGGAUAAAAAAAAAAUUAUUGGUUUUUUUUUGUCAGGAUGCAAAAUAAUAAAUUAAAUGAAAGAAUAUGUAUAAUUUUCAAAUAACUUAAUAACAAAAUAGCUGACAGAUUAUUCUUUUGUUCUUUUGUGUUUGGCUGUAAUAUAUUUUUUUGUGAUUUUCUUUUUUUAAUGUUUUGAUCCUAUCGAAGGAUUGAGGAAUAUUAAAUUGAUUUGAAAUUUUGUAUCCUAAAAAACACAAAUAAAAUAUCAAAUUACAUCAAUUUACUUUAAAAAUUCAUUUGGGGUGCAUUACGCAUAAUUUAAUAUGUUUUGAGGGUGCAAAAUGUUAUUAAUAUUUUUUAAGGUGCAAAGUGUCAAAGACUAUAUUUCAAGGGUGCAAAAUGGAAUUGAAUGAAUCUAAAGCUUUAAUUUAAUUUAAAAUUAACGUUAUUUGUGAAUAAUGUGCAUGAUGAUUGAUCUUGGAAGCGGAAGACUCGGCGUGAAUAAUUCAAUUGUAUGUAAAAUAAUAAUUUUGCACUAUUCAUGUGAUCAUUACUUUAAUUUGAAGAAGUUGACUUUUCAGAAAUUAUCUGUUUUUGUUUUUUCUUUUUUUUUUUUGUUUUUCUUUUUUGUUUUUUAUAGAAGAUUAUAUAGGUUCCUUCGACCCUACACUCGGUGAUAAACACCGGGUGAGUCUUCUGCUGCCAUGUGUUCUUUUUUUAUUUUUCUAAAACCCCUAUAGGUAAACCCUAGCGGGGAAUCUAUUAAAAAAUACAAAAAAGAGACACGUGGCAGCAGAAGACCCACCCGGUAUUUAUCACCGAGUGUAGGGUCGAACAAAUUGCGAUUGAGUCACACAAUCUCGCGUCGGGGGCAUUGUGCCAUUGACUAAAUGUAAAAUGACACAAUUAGCCCUCUCUCCUCUCCUCUCUAUCUCCUCUCGUCUAUUAAUCAUCUUCAUCUCCACCUCACCUCUGCAUAAUCUCCUACGACGGCAGCAACAAUGGCGGCGACAGUGGUGAGUAGAAGAACGGCAAAAAAGGUGGCUCAUCACCAUCGUCGACAGCGCCAGUGUUGGAGAGUAAAUGGUUCUAUUUUAUGUUAUUCUGAUUUUAUAUUAUUUAUUCAAGGGUAGACUUGUCCUCUUACCUCUGGUCAACCAAUAAAAUCACAAUGGGAAGUGUGUUAUUUAAAAAAAAUCACAUGAGGGAUUUUGCUUGUUUAUUUAUCAAUGGGAGUUUUAUAAUAUUUUAAAAUUAUACAGGGGUACUUAUUGCAGUUUACUUUUUGUAAUUAUGAAAGUGAUUAGCUGAAUUGCUGUUAACGUUUCCCUAAUCACUAGAUAUAAUCUAGGUGAUAAUUUAAUUUCAAAUAAAACCAAAUCUUUGUGAAUUAAAAAAUAUGAUUAUUGAUCGCGGAAGCGGGAGACUCGGUGUGUAUCGGAUACUUGACGGCCCCGUUAAUUCAACUUCGACAUAAAAACAAAUCUUCAUUAUCCACGCGAUCAUUAAUAUAAUUUGUAGGAGUUGACUUUUCGAGCUACACGAUAAGCAUUCAUUUUUCACGGCAAGUAUAGCACAGAAAACACAAAGGGAAGCACAAAGUUCACCCGCUCACACAAAUCACACACACCCAAAGUGUAACUUAAAACAAUAAUACAUACUGCAGUCAAAUUAUGAAUUAUAUUCCACAGUAUUUUUGGAUGGCUCCUUCCAUUUUGGCGCCACCUUCCUUGCAAUACUCGACGAACUCCAAGUGACGGAAAGAUUUGAAUUUCAAUGGAUUAUUAUGGUCGACGAGCUCAUCUGGCACUUGCAGAACACCUCCGAUGAAAGAGAAAACUCCGACGGAAUGUUUCUCCUUGCUUCCUUUAGCGACGACUUUGUGGAGCGGGCUAUAUAUUCUUCCAUUGCUCCAUGCCUUGCCAAAAGUUUUCAAAUUAUUACUAUUCAUUUUUGUUAUUAAAUUUAAUUUUAUACAUGUAUAUAUCGUCGAGAAUCGAAAAAUCAUACUAUGUUCGCCGGAAGGAGAGCAGCGGUCAGCUAUAUUCAAUUAUUUUUGGAAAAAUUGCAAAUCAGUCUCUGACUUAAGGAAGAAGAAGGCAUUUUUUAAAAUAGAAGGGACUGCAUUAAAAAUGCUGAAAACUUCAUUUUGGUGCUUAUUUAUGAAAUUUCUAAUCAAAAGGGUAUUCAAGUCUUUUUAAGAGUGUAUUGCACGAUCAACUCACAGGGACCUUGUUGAAUGUGACUAACUUUUAUAGGGGGUCUUUACUAAUUUGUUUAAUAUGGGGGUAUUUUCAGCAAUUAGAGAUUAAACAGGGGUGGUUAGUGCUAAAAACUCAAAAUUAAAAUUGAGGAAUCUCACCAUGAAUGGUUCACCUGCAAUGACAAUGAAUUUUCCAAGAGAUGGCUCAUAAUCAAUCCAAUCACCACCACGAGUUUCGAUCUCCAAACCUUUGACUUCGUUUGUCCCGAUUACUGUAAUAAAGCUCUUGUCCCUGUGAGGUACAAUACCAAUACUGCACUGGUUCUCGCCCGGCGAGUUGUACCUCAUGAGCCGCGUCAUGUAGAACGACGACUCCAUUAGCGGAUCGUAGUAUUUUUCCAAACCGUAGCUGUCGGCCACCAUUUUAACAACCGUUUUGUUCAAUUCCGACAGCAAUUUACAGUACGAGUAUAUUGUCUCACUGUAAAAUGGAGAGAAAUAAUGUUAGUUAUGUAAAAAAUACAAACAUAUCAACAAACAUAUUUUAUACACCUUCACGUACAGGCGUAUUACAUUUUUAAAGUCUUACACGUAAAUCUUUUUUUACGGGUGGAAAUAGAAUUCUAAUCUAGGACCAGACCAUCAUUUGGCCGGGUUGACUUUCAUACCACGUUGAAUAACUAUUUUAUCUAAAAACUUAAGGUGGUAGUGAGGUAAUUAAUCACUCUUUCGGUGAAAUAUAUCGGGUGAUUAUUAAACCGUUGAUCUGCACAUAUCCAUGUGUAUGUGUACUUAGUGGGUGGCUAGUUCACCCCAUCAAUGGUUAAAAAUCACCCGAUGAUGCGGUGUGGCGUCUCAAUGACCAUUUAAUGAUAUACUUUAUUUAUAUUAAAAAAAAUCUACAGAAUAGAAUAUAUAGUAAAUUACGGCAACCCCCUGAGGUGAAGUCAAAUUACGAAAAAAAGCCCUCAUGUUUGGGUAAUUACAACCACCCUCAACUAUGAAUCUUUACACGUUCAUCCUUAUGGUAUCAAAUUCAACAUAAUCUUCUAGAUCCUGUAAAAUGUUCUCUAGUUUGUACUCGUUUUGUGCAAAAAUGCAGUUUCUGAUGCAGCACAAUCUGAUAUUUACAAGGCAAGAGACACAUCUUACGAUCAUCUUAGUUCAAAAUGUGGAGUUCGAAUGGGGUAAAACAGGUACAAACUAGAGAAUAUUUUACAUAAUUAAGAAGAUUCCACUAAAUUUGAUAGUACAACGGUGGACGUGUAAGAAGAUUCAUAGUUGAGGGAUGGUUAAUUACCCAAACAUGCGUGAUUUUUUUCAUAAUUUGACCUUACCUGAGGGGGCGACCGUAAUUUACCCUAUACACUAUAUGUAUAAAGGGGUGAAAUAUAUGUAUAAAAAAUGAAGAAGAAUUAAUAUUUACCAGAAUUUAUCAUGGCCCUGAGACCACAUGAGGGUGGUGAAUUUUUGUGCAGCAUCAAGAGUUGCAACAUCUUCAAUCCCAAAGUAUUCAAAGAGCGGCAUAACCGAAUAAUUCCCACCGUAACCGAAACCUGCGAAUUUCGAAAUGUGCUUCUUUUUAGUUUCAAGUGGGAGACCAAACAGCUCCUCCGACAGGCCGCCGUCGAAAAUCUUCGCGUGCAGCUCCGAACCGAUGUUGCUCUCGUAGGAUACCACAAAACAUCCGUACAUUUCCAGGGCUUGUCGGACCAAAUCCGAGGUUGAUUUCCAGGGAUUUGUGCCAGGUGUCAUGUUUUCUUGGUUGAAUUCUAUUGUGGGGAGCUUAUUAGAUUGUUGAUCAAGAGAACCCAUUGUAUAAUGAUUGACUAUAUUUCUUGAUCAGGGGUUUGGUUUAAUUUAGAUUAAUGCUUCUGAUUGUGUAAUAUUGUCAUCAUACUUAUAAGGAGAUUUGAUGUUAUUAACAUAUAUAAUCUAUAUAUUAAUAUUUACCAGAAUUUAUAUUUGAUGUUAUUAACAUAUAUAAUCUAUAUAUUAAUAGACUUUUGAAUUGAUUAUAAUGAGUCAAUGACUAGUUGAGUAUGAUUAUGAUUAUGAUUAUGAUUACUUGUCUUUAGUGAUAAAUCAUGUCUACUAAUUAAGUAAGACUUGUCGCAUUUCAAAAUUAAUUACAUAUUUUAAAGAACUGAUACUAAUCUAUACUACUAAUAAAAGUGGGAAUAAUACGGUGGUUUCUUCCAUUUUUUGGUUGUCCUAAAAUACCCUCUAAAACAACCAAUAGCUAAAGGACACAUCAAGGGUAAAAAUAAACUUCUACCUUAUAAUAAUAAUAAUAAUAAUAAUAAUAAUAAUAAUAAUAAUAAUAAUAAUAAUAAUAAUAAUAAUAAUAAUAAUAAUAAUAAUAAUAAUAAUAAUAAUAAUAAUAAUAAUAAUAAUAAUUAUUAUUAUUAUUAUUAUUAUUAUUAUUAUUAUUAUUAUUAUUAUUAUUAUUAUAUAAAAUAAUUGGCAAAUAAUUCAAUUAUCUUAUUAAAAAGAUAAUAUGUUAAAAUUGAAUAAAUAUUGUCUUCCAUUGGUAACAUAGAUGUACUAACAUAUAAGCUAUUUUUUAUUGACCAAAUAAAAUUUACCAAAAACUAAACAUUAUAUUAUUGAACAAAAAGACUAAUAAAGAACUGUAUAUACACACAUAUAGAUAUUGAAAAAUAAUAAUUGCAAAAUAUUAUUAAAAAAAUCAAUGCUUUCCAAGAAAUCAAUGAAUAAUAAAUUGUAUUCUUAAUUAUUUAAAUAUAUUUUAAUUCAUUAAUUUCUUCAAGUAUCUGAUUACUCAUAAUAUCUAAAUAUAUAUUUUUAAUAUAUGUCUAAUAAUUUAAUUUUAUUUACUUUUCAAUUUUAUAUAAAGAAUAAGAAUUAGUUUUUAUGUUAUUUAUUGUAUCGAGGAAAGAUAAUAUUUAAAUUUUAAAUAUAUUACAUCGACUUUUUAAUUGAUUAAAUUUAUAGCAUCAUUUUUCGAUUAUUUUUAUCCAAUAAAAAAUGAGAUAUAUAUAUUAAGGGUAUUAUUAUAUUUUAAAUGAUACUUUAAGGGGUAAGUGUUACAUUGGUUAGAAGUUGGACAAUCAUCAAAGAUAAAUACGAUUAAUUAUUAUACAGACAUGAAUAAAAGUAAUUGACUUCGUUUAGGAAUUGAUAAGAAUUUGGACAGUCAGCAAUUAAAUAUAUAAAAAGGAGAAUGAUGCAACAUUAUUUCCUCUUGCUCCAUUCGUUUAUAUUCAUUUGAUAGAAUAAUAAUUGUUAAACUGUUGUAUUUAGAUCUUCGCUCGGUAAUUGAUAAAUAUCUUCAUGCAUCUUAAAGUGGAACAUAUAAUUUCAUCUUCUAUAAUCAUUAAAUUUAAGUUUGGACAAAUAUAUCUCAUUCAAAAAGUUAUUUACAUCAUCGAUAUGCACUAUCACUUUCUACUAGACUUUUCUAAAUUAUAUCUAGCAUUUGGUCGAAUGGAUUAAAUUUAGUUGAAGAUUAUAAAUAGAAAGUUCGGAUGAUAAUAAAUUUCGUACUGUAAGUUGAAUUCGACUUUUAAUUUCUAUGUUGCUACCAUCUAUAUUACCGGUUUCUGAUGUUGCUGGGGAUGAUAGGAAUUUUAAAUUCCAUAAUCUAUUUUAAAACAAAAGACUUGGAUGAUAAUAAAUUGCAUUAUGCAAGUUGAAUUUGACUCUUAAUUUCUAUGUUGCAACCAUCUGUAGUACUGGUUUCUUAUAUUGCUGGGAUGGGGAUCUUAAAUUCCAUAGUCUAUUUAAAAAGAUUUAUUGCAUUCAACAUUACUUUAUUUUUAUUUUUUUUGUUGAAAAUUUCUUUAGGUUAUUUUAUUGGCAUCAACUUCCUUAUAAUUAUUUUUUUUUAGUUUUAUAAAAGCGAGAAUGUCGAGAGGGGUUUCUUCUAUUUUUUUAUGGACAAAAUACACUUGGAAUUAAGUUUGUAAAAUAAUUCAGUAAAUACAAAUCAAUUAGCAAAUAGAAAUUAAUUAGCUAGCAUGAACAUGAAUACAGUAACCGACAUGAUGGUGUUUUGUUUGAUUCAAGGGUACAAAAAGAACACCUUUCGCUUAGAGAGGUUUUCAUAAAACUACCAUUUAAGUGGCUACUUAGAGCGUAUAUAGGGGAAGAAGAAGGUCUUAUAGGACUAACUGAAAUUUCAUGUAAAUAGGGACGUAAAAAAAAUAUUGCGUAAACAAAUUAAAAACUUCCAUUCGUAGAGUGUAUUGUUCGAUUUCAAAGCAAAUCUUCAAGUGACUACCAUUCAAGUCUUAUAGGAUUGAGUGAAAUUCUUACAUUGAGUCAAUAAUUGAAGGCUCAGUUCAGUUACUACUUGCAUUUAAUCAUACUUUCAUAAUUUCUUUUGGAUAAUUAUUUUUGAAGUAGACUCAUCUAAUUAUUUAUUCAUAAAAUUAAUUUUCUGUUAUUUAAAGAAAAACUUGAAAAAUAAUUUAUAAUCCAUGUAAUAAAGGGAUUUAAAUAAAGACUAAUAAGUAAUAACAUCUCAAUUGUAAAUGUAUGCCUAAUAUAAGUUCAUUUUGUUAUUCUUGUAAUAUGUGUACGUGUAUGUGUAUCUGCAGUGUAUUCAUAACGAUUUUUGCACAGAGAGGGUAUAAUUGAUUUUGUCUCUAAUUGUUUCUAAUUUAGUUUUUAGAUAAAUCACCAUGUUAAAUAAAAACAAAUAGAAAUAAAAAUAAUUGAUCGUAUAAAAUUAUUUUGACUAAAUAAUGCAAAUCGCUUAAAUAAAUGACGAUGCUAGAAUUUCCAAAUACGAGUGUAAACAAAAGUUGGUUAGUUCGAAGAGGAAGAAUAAUAAAUAUUACAAUAAUAUAUAACUUUAUGUUACGAAGAGAAAUCACUUAUGCAAAUUCAAGAACAAAUAUAAAGAUUUGUUUUAUUUAUUUUUCUUUGGAACUAUGUGCCAACUCAAGAUCAAGCAAAAUAAUAUGACAACAAAAUUUACAUUCAAAAAAUAAAAUCGAAAUUGUACAAUUUUUAAUUAUAUAUAUAGUGUUAGUGGAAUAAGCUUCAGUAUUUAUAAUUUUAUUAAAUAUUUUUUAUAGUACCGCUAUUAAUUUUAAUCGAAUAAAUUAUUAAUUAAUAAAUAUAUAAAUAAUUAAUGAAGAUCAUGAACCACGUGCAACGCACGUGUCACUUACUAGUAUAUAAAAUAGGGCAAAUUGCAUAUCACCGUACCCCCUGUAAAUUUCUAUUUUUUGCACUUUAUCCUCUCAAAAAUUUUAAAAGUGAAUGCCCCUCUUCAAAAUGUUAUUUUUGUUGCACAUUGCCCCUACAACAAAACUCUGAUGGAUUAUUCAUCGGAAGUGAGUAUUUUUGUGCACGUUGCCCUUAUAAAUGUUAUUUUUGUUACAUGUUGCUCCUUAAUAACACUAUUUUUUCCACGGUGUCCCUUUAAAAUAAUAUGUUUGUCGCACAAUGCCCUCCAAAAAUUGGCUUCUGGGGCAAUGUGCAACCAAAAUAGUAUUUUGCAGGGGAAGUAUCCAUUUUUUGAAUUUUUAGGGGGGAAAGUGCAAUAAUGUGAAAUUUAUAGGGGGUGAAGUGCAUUUUUUCCCAUAAAAUAUAAAAUAGGGUUCAGUACAUAUAGUUUGCACCCAUGUACUUUCAUCACUGUCGCAUAUACACCAUAUAUUAUGAAAUGUGACAAAACAACCCCUGUCGUCCAUCUCUGUUACAAAAGUUGUCCUUUUUUAAUUCUUGACUGACCGUUGUACUAGACGUUGGAAAAUUUUAGACCAAAAUACCCAUUUGAUUAUGUAUAAAAGGUGUGCAUCAUUCUUCACUCGUUUGUACUCAAUUUCUUCCUAAUUUUUGUUCCCAGCCCUUUAUUUUACCCAAAAUUUCUGAACAAAUUUUACAUUCGAGAAAUUGUUUUUGACUUCUUUUUAAAUUUAUAAAUAAUUGCUCGAUUUAAAAAUGUUUUUCCGAUAGUUCAAAUUCUCAAAAUUCAUGCUUUAGGUCCAAAGAUAACAUGUCAUAAAUAACACUUCAAGCUUUUCAUUAUCAUUAUAAUACAAUACGUACAUUAGAUACAACCAGUUCAUACUCCAAGUUCAAGCCUGGUAGAUAAAUACAUAAUUUGCCCGAAAUUAAUAAUAUAACAACACCCUCCAUCAAAUCAAUACAUUAAAACAUACCAAAUUAAACAUAAAAUAAAAUAACAUAUUAAUUAUAUAUAAAUCUCAAAUUCCACAAUAAUCCUUAAUAGGACACUUUGAUCUCUUGCCCUCCUCAGUGUAAUAGAAGUGGAUAUAUUUGUAAUGAUCAAACGGCUUAAACCUCGACGGAUUAUCGUCGUCAACUAGCUCCUCGGGCACUUGUAUUUUAACAUCCUUAAUAAACGUAAACAGCCCGAGCGAGUAUCUGUCUUCACUCCCCUCAUCGAUUAUCACACGAUGCUUCGAAGGUUCAAUCCUGCCGUUAGUCCACGCCUACACAUAAAAAAUAAAAAUAAAAAUAAAAAAAUUAAAAAAAAAGAGUUACGUUGGUUCGAUUGGUUCGACCGUUCAUCCACUCAACGCAUUUUGUUUUUUUAAUGGAUGAACAUUCAGACACUACUAUCUGAUGUAUUUCACUUGAUGUAGCAUCAGUUCAGUUUGCUGUGUGAGUGGGGGGGCCCACAUAAGUAUAUGACUUUGAUUUAAUUUGAUAACCCCCAAAUUAAAAUCUGAAUUAAAUUACAAAAGUAAUAUAUAUGUAUUUAUUAGGGGAUUGCAUGUAUAUACAUAUAUACAUACCAUACAAGCGUCGCCCGCCAUGACUACGAAAUAUGAAGGCGAUGGAUCGACAAGUAACCAAUCGCCAUUUUUUGUCUGAAUUUGGAGGCCCUUCACUUGGCGUUGGUGAAGAAUGGACAUAAAGCUCUUGUCGGUGUGAGGCACGAUACCUAGACCUGUUUCGUCUUUUCCCGGCGCUCGGUAUUUUAUGAACCGAAGAAGGUACGAGGUUGCUCCGACCAAUGAUUGGUAGCUAUCCUCAAUUCCGUAAUUCUUGGACACCAUUCUCAUCACCUCUUGCUCUAGUUCCGCCACUAGCCUCGAGUAUUCAAGUGCAGUUUCACUUUUUCAACAAAACAAAACAAAAGCGAAAAUUACAAAAAAAAAAAAAAAAAUAAAUUCUAGUGUUAAAAUUACCAUUUUACCCUUUUUAUGGUUGGCUGCUGAUUCCUUACGAAAUCAAUUAAAACUUCAGUAGAUACGUAUAUAAGGAAAAUAGUAAAAAUUGCGAAAUACCCGAAAUGGUGGUUUCCGGAGGGCCACAAGAGAGACGUGAAAGUCUCGACUCCAGUGUGAGUUGUUGCGUUCUCGAUACCGAGACCCUCGUACAACGGGAUUAUGGGCUCUUGCCCGACGUACCCGUGUGACGGGGUUCCGGAGGUGUUGAGGAUUUUGACGUCCGUCGGAAGAUCGAAGAGUUGUUCGGAAACGCCGAAAAUGGAUCGGUGCAUCUCCGGCGAGAAUUUGCUAUAGGUUGCGAUGAAGCAACCGUAGUCUUCGAGGGCAUGGACGACUUUUUCCGCGGUGGUGAACCAAGAUGGUGAACCGGGCUCCAAGUUUUUCUCCGAGAAAUCUAUUAUUGGAAGAGUAGGAUUUUCCAAAGAACCCAUGAUUGGUGGUUUUUUCUUUGUUUUUUUUUUAAUUUAAAUUUGUUUUUUUCUUUUUAAUUUUUGUGUUGGAUGAAUGAAAGGUGAGAUAGGAACUGAUAUAGCGAAGAUAUCUAAUUUUUCCAAGAUUAAUCAUGCACUGCAGCUAAUUAAAUUAUGUCUAACAAUAGUAAAUUAAUUAAUUGUUGGGUAUGUUAUUGUCUAUGAUUAAAGACAACUGUGUAUUCGUUAGACGAACUAAUGAAUAUAAAAUAGGGUAAAUUCCACUUUUCCCCCUUAUACUUUGCUUCAUUAUCACUUUACCCCCUUCUACUUUCGAUUGCAUCAAUUUGCUCCCAUGUAAUUAAAAAUUUGUCUGAACGUGGCAUUUGCAAGUUUUCAAUCCUUUGACCUUAACACCGUUUGGUCUAAGGUCUGAAAAUUACAAAAAGGUCAGAGCUUAGAGGGGUGACGUUUUUGUAAUCUUAGAUCUUAGACCAAACGGUGUUAAGGAAAGAGAGUGGAGUUGACUCAGUUGAUUUAUGUGAAUCGAAAGGAAAGAGAGAAUUGACGCCAUUUUGAAUUUAAAAAAAAAGGGCAAAAUACAGUUUUGGUCCCUCAUAUUUGCACCGAUUUCACAUUUGGUCCACAUGUUCACAAAAAAUAUAUUUGGUCCCUCAUGUUUCAAAACUUCAACACUUUUAGUCACUUCCGUCAAUUUUUCAUUAGAACUAAUGAAAUCAAGCGUGUGCCCAUGGCAUCACUGUCUUAACUGAAGGAGUAACGGUAAAUUGACGAAAUGACCAAAAGUGUUAAAUUAUUGAAACACGAGGAACCAAAUGUGAAAUCGGUGCAACCUUGAGCGAUGAAAACUGGAAUUUUCCCAAAAAAAUAUUUAAAAAUGACGACAUUUUGUUUAAUGCAAGAGUAAUUUUGACGUCGUAAUUGUCGGAUAUUUAAAGCAAAAAGCCGAAAACCAAAACAAGAUCGAGGCGUACGUAUUACCAACCCAAGAUUACUCUAUGAUGGUAACGGGAUUUGAAAGAUCAUCAAUCUAUAUUUUGUGUUUUUUUUAGCGGAUAAUAUUUGUUAAUAAUAAUAAGAGUUUUUUUAGCACCAACCAGCUCUGUGUAAUCUCUAAUUGCCAAAAAAAUUCUCGUGUUCAGCAAAUUAUCAAUAACCCUCUAUAUUAUGUUUUGCAAGGCACACUGCCCCUUACUUCAAAAUUGUUUGUUGACUUACGUCAAAUGACAAAACUAUCCUAAUAAAUACUAAACAAUAAUUUAAUUUUAAAUAAAAUAAAUGAAAAAAAAAAAACAAGAAGGAAACCCUCUUCAGCCUUGCGCUCUCCCUGAACACCGAUUUGGUGUGGUUAAAAAGCUCUAAAACAUGGGCGGAAAAGCUCCAAACCGAAUCGAAUUUCGUCGGAGAAAAUGUUGGAGUGGUGGUGCGGAAGGGGGAUAUGGUUGAAGCGGAGGCUGAGGGUACAGAGGAAGGUGAGGCUGGAGAGGUGUUUUCUUGAAGGAGAGCGGUGGCUCAGCUAUGUUAGUGUAUUUUAGGAAAAUUACAAAUCAGCCCUUGACUUAAGGAAGAAGAGGGCCUUUUGAAAAUGGAAAUUACUGAAUUGAAAAUUUUAAAAACUUCAUUUUGGGGUUUAUUUGCAAAAAAAUUAAUUUAAAAAGGGUAUUCCAGACUUUUCAGUCAAAAAAUCAACCCCCAGCCGCAUUUGUGGCGAGUGUAUUGCACGAUCAAUUCGCAUGGACCUUGUUGACUUUGACUAACUUUUAUAAGGGGGUAUUUGCUAAUAUUUUUAAUACAUGGAUUUUUAUGGCAAAUAGAGAUUACACAGGGACGGUUAGUGCUAAAAACUCUAAUAAUAAUUGAGAGAAUAUUUGUUAAUUAUAUCAUGAUGCAAAGGUGGUCCAAAAAUUUAGAUUAUUUGAGAGGUAUAUUUUUGUACUUUUCCUAUUUUUCUUUAAUUUCACGGGCCAUCACGGGUUUACUUAAUUAACAAUAAUUAGCCACAUGGAAAUAAUAAUGUGGAUCAAAUUUUGAAUGAUAAGGAACGAAAGUUUUGUAGAUGCUACACUUGGUGAAAUAUAUCGGUAAUCCUACACUAUUGAUAUACACAUAAUUACACACAUUUAUGUGUGUGCGCUUAGUGGGUAGUUAUUAUUUAUUUGUAUAGCUUAUGGUGCAAAAUUACUCAGUGUUUUUCACCAGGUGUAGCAGAUCAUAGACUGUGACACGAAGAUAUUCGUGGUGUUUUAUUAGGUACACUAGGAUCCUAGUCAAGAGCUAUUUGACCCUAUUUCUAACGACAAUUUAAAAAAUAUAUAUAAUUAGAGAUUUGGUUAGUUUUAGUUUUAAUUAGUUAAUUCUUAUAUGAAAUGAUGAUUGGAUCGAUCCUCCAAAUUGUCUUAAUCGAGACCAAGUGCCAAAUAGGGGAGGGACCAAAUUGAGUCUUAAUCAAGAUUAUUUUGAAACUAAAUUCUGACAUCACUAAUGAUACGGUUGGUGGAUGAGACCGUACGAAAAUGAGGUUCUGCAGAUGUUACAUUGGCGAAAUACACCAGAGUAAUUUGUUUCCAAAAUUAAUUUCAAGAUACAUGGUUAUUAAGAGAGAAAUACAGUUUUCAUCCCUCAAGUUUGCACUGAUUUCACAUUUGGUCCCCGAAUUUAACGAAAAACACAUUCGGUCUCUUCUUAUGUUUGAAAAAUUCAACAUUUUUAGUCUUUUUCGUCAAGUUUCUGUUAAAACUAACGGAAUCAAGCAUGUGUCCACCACUACCUUAAUUGACAGACUAACGGUGAAUUGACGGAGAAGACCAAAAGUGUUAAAUUAUUGAAACAUGACUACCUUAAUUGACGGACUAACGGUGAUUGGCGGAGAAGACCAAAAGUGUUAAAUUAUUGAAACAUGAGGAAUCAAAUGUAUUUUGAAAACAUGCAAACUUGAGGGAUGAAAACUAUAAUUUUUCCCUCGUAACAUAAAUUAUUGAGAGGUUUUGAUUUUUUUUUUUAUUUAUUUAUUUAUUUAUAUUUUCCCUUAAAUUAUAUGUCAAUUCAUCUAGUCUAAUCAACCAAAUAAGAUAACUAAAAAAAUAAAUCCUUAUCAAUAUUGGUCCCCUUAGCUUCAAUUGCAAAUAAAAUAAAUCCAAAUUGUACAUUAUUAUAUUAGACAAAUCGAUUCAUUCUAUGGGUUUCUUUCAUGACAAAGUAUGACAAUAACUUCGUUAAUGUCAAACCAAUUAGCGAUUAACGUAAGAAGAUGAUGUGUAAUUAGUACUUUUAACAUUAGUUUAUCGAGAUUCAACCAUCUUCUACGGUUACGUUUUUCGGUCCCCUCUUAAUAAUUACGUAAUUCGUGACGAGCAAAAUAAUAUUGAAUGGACCAAAUGUUGUCGAUCAUUAGCUAGUCGCAUUUAAAUUUAAGGUAAGAACAAAUAUGACAACACAAUAAUGGUUUGAGAGGUUUUUUUUUAAUUUAUUCUUUCUUAGACAAGUAUCACAAUUUUUUUGUUAAGAUCAUAUUGUCAUGUAGCAUUGGAUUUCUUUUUCAUGAUAUAUGAAUAAGAAUUAUAUGUAAAUAAUUUAAGUAUUAAUUGGGAGGUGACAUGUUAAUAAAAUAUAUAUUUUGAUGUUUAUAUAUUAACCUACUACAUUUCACAAAUUAAAUAUAACACUAUUUUAUCUUACAAAUUUUGGUCCCCUCUUUGAUCAUGCAUUAUUGGUAACAAGGAAAACAAUAAUGAGAGGUUAUUAUUUAUAUAUAAUUCUUUUUUUGGCCAAUUGUAUGACAAUAGUUUUUGGUAAUAUCAUAUUGUCAUCUAGAUAUUGGAUUUUGUUUUUCCAUAUUGAAAUAUAAAAAUAGGAAUUAUAAUGAUUGGCACAGGGAAAUUAAUAAUAUUUUUACUUAAAUGAAAAUGAAAAUAAGUGAGUUAAGUAUCAUACAUUCAUCAAGCUAUAUAUAUAAAUUUGAACAUAAAUAUAGGUGCACUGCGUAAACCUACACUCUCGUAUAUAUCUAAGCUAUAUAUAUGUCCCUAUUGGAAUUGGCUUUCACAAAAUUCAUAUGCUUCUUGAAGCCAAUAAUAUUAUUUUUAAAAUUUUAAAUUAAUUUUUUGUUUUCAUAAUAUUAAAAAAUAUUAACAAAGAAUAUUCCAUCGAAUCUUAAAGAAAUUCCGUUAGUAAAUAAUAUAUAUUUUAUUAUUUUUUUCAUAAGUUAAUCAUCUUUUAUACCAAGAAAUUGUAAUGAGAUGGAUCGUAAAAAUGAAGGAUGAAAAUGAUACAACUGUUAAAUGAAGGACUAAAAUGGAACUAAAUAUCAAGAUGAUGGACCAGUAGUGAGAUUUUGCCUAAUUCUUAGUAUAAAGAUUAUAGGGUAAAUUCCACUUUCCCCCUUGUACUUUGGCUUGAUAUAACUUUAUCCCGUUUUACUCUUGAUUGCAUCGAUUUGCCCCCGUGUACUUGAAUAAUUGGCUUAAAUGCGGCCAUCGCGUUAGUUUUCAGAACUUUUACCUUAACACAGUUUGAUCUAAGUCUGAAAAUUACAAACAAACCACCCCUCCCAGUUUAAAAAAUUAUUAAAAAAAAUUAUGGCUGCCGUCGUGGACUAUGCUUUCUCGUGUUCUGAAUUUAUUAUUAUUAUUUUUUUGUUUUUUUAAUUCUUUUUUGUUUUUUUAUUCAUUUUUGUUUUGUAAUAAUUAUUUAAACUGUGAAGCGUCGCGUUUUUGUAAUUUCAGAGUUUAGACCGAACGGUGCUAAGGCCAAAAGUCUGACAACUAACAGCAAGGGUCACAUUGACACAAAUUUUCAAGAAGUUGAUACGAAAGAACACGCAAUACAUAGUAGAGUUAAUUGCACAGAGCCCUUGUGUAAUGUCUAAUUGUCGAAUAAGUUCUGAGUAAAAAAAUUAUCAAUUAAUUCCGCCAGAGAAUUGUCGAAUAUGUUGCAUGUUUUUAGCCUACCCCUAAUGACUUAAAAUCGGGCUUCCUUGUUUGUUAUUCAGAUCUGAUUUGGUAAGGGUUCUGUACUAGCCUCUUUUCGCUGCCCUGUGGUGUUGUUUUGUGUUUGUGAUGGUUCUCCGGCUCUGGUGGUGGUGAUGUUGCGGUGUGGCCGCCGGCUACAGUUAUUUGGAGGAGCAUGAACAUGGAGCCGGUGAAGGAAGGGGGAGAAUUGAGGAUCUUAUGUAAAUUAGGGGUUUAUUUAAAAUCAAACUUCAUUGAGUUUACAGUAAAUUACAAUCAUCCCUGAGGUAUGGUCGAAUUACAAAAAAAACACUUCAUGUUUGGAUAAUUAUAACUACCCUCAAUUAUGAAUCUUCUUACACGUUUACCGUUAUGGUGUCAAAUUCAACAUAAUCUUCUAGGUUAUAUGGAAUGUUCUCUAGUUUGUACUCGUUUUGUGCAAAAAUGCAGUUUCUGAUGCACCACAAUCUGAUAUAUACAAGCCAAAAAACACAUGUUGAAUAUUCCAUAUAAGCUAGAAGAUUCCACUAAAUUUGACACCGCAAGGAUGGACGUUUAAGAAGAUUUAUAGUUGAGGAGUGAUUGUAAUUAUCCAAACAUAAGGGUUUUUUCGUAAUUCGACCAUACCUCACAGAGUGGUCGUAAUUUACCCUUGAGUUUAUAUUGAUUUGCAAGAGGGUAUUUAUGUCAUUUCACAAGCAAAAUCGAAGAAAUACUCACGCAAGCCGCGAGUGAAUUACGCGAUAUGCUUAUCGACGCUUUGUUGGCUUUGACUAAAGAACACAGGGAGGUAGAUGCUAAUAUUUUUAAUACGGGCACAUUUUUUAUAAUUAGAUCUACCACAGGGGUGCCGCUUAUAAAAAACCCAUAAAUAUUAUAUUACACAAGACAUACAUUAUUCCUUAAUUAUAUUUUCAGUCCCUUCACACACACACACACACACACACACACACACACACACACACACACACACACAUACAUAUAAACUAAAAAUAUAAUAAACAUAAAAUUCAUUCAAACACCACAGAAAUCUUUAAGUAUGUUCUGAGAUCUUCGGCCGUGAUCCGUGUCGUAAAACUUCAACAAAUCGACGUGAACAAACGGCUUGAAUUGCAACGGAUUUUCAUCGUCGUCGACAAACUCCUCUGGCACUUUAACCAUCUUGCUGAGGAAAGAGAAUAGGGCAAUUGUGUAUCUUGUCUCUUUAAUUCCAUUCUUGUGCAAUGUUACUUUGUGGUUUGGAGAAAGCACCUUGUUGUUACUCCAUGCCUCAUUAAUUACCAAACAAUAAAAAAUAAUUAGCAAUGUUAAUAACUAUAUGUACAUUGUUCCAUCAAAAUAAUGUACAUAAUUAUUAAUAAGGUUUAUGGGUGGAAAUCGGACAGAUCGGAUCGCAAUUAGCACUUUUGGAGAAAAAAAUCAGAUUAUUUUCAGAAAUUUAAAACUAGUCCAAUUCUGUUCCAAAAAACAAAAUUGAAAAUGGGAAUUUCGGAAAUUUGAAUGAAAAAACUUGUUCCAAAUUUUUUUUUUAAAAAAAAGAAAGAAAGAAAGAAAAAAUCGAAUCGGAAUCGGCGGAGUUUGGAAAAUACAAAUUUUUCGUAACCUAAACAUAUAACUUACAUAAUAAUUUUAGUAUUAUAAGUUUAUUUUUCAGAAAAUUUUUUUUGGAAUUUUCAAAAUUAUUUUGGAAAUUUGAAUUGGAUGGAAAUCGAAAUCGAAAUCUCAUAUGUAUUCCGAUUCCGAUCUGAAAAGUUUGGGAAAAAUUGGACGGAGUUUAAACUUUUUGUUCCCAAAUUGAAAAAUUCGGACCAGUUUGCAGAAAUAGGAAUUUUCGUUCCAAUUUCCACCCCUAAUAAUAGAGGUUAAUUGCAUUCAUCACCCUGUGUUUACUCAAAGAUCGACGUGUUAUAACUUACAAAUAUUAGCAAAACCACCCAUCCGAUUCUUUUUUAUUAGCAAAUACUCCCUAAAAACUGAAGAAAAAAAAUGCAUCAUAAUUAAGGGUGCUCUUUUGUAAUAUUUAUAACACAAAAUUUUUUUAGCAAUUCGAUAUAACGGGAACGAAUUCAAUUCGAUAUAUACAUGAUUAUAUAUAUAUAUAUAUAUAUAUAUAUAUAUAUAUAUAUAUAUAUAUAUAUAUAUAUAUAUAUAUAUAUAUAUAUAUAUAUAUAUAUAUAUAUAUAUAUAUAUAUAUAUAUAUAUAUAUAUAUAUAUAUAUAUAUAUAUAUAUAUAUGGAAAAGUAGGGUGACAAAGCUUUUGUCUGUGUGGGAGGGAAAAGCCAUUUUACUUUCUCCCUCUUCGGCUCUUAGAGUGCUCGAUAUUUUAAGAAUCUGAGAAUAUAUGUCUUUGCUUCUAUAUGCGAUUCGAAGUGCUGCGGACCGUAGCUCUCGAAUAGCAUUUUGAUCACCAGUUUUUCUAGCUCUGCAACCGUCUUCGCGAAGGUCCUCGAUGUCUCACUAACCAAUACAAAAUAAAUAAAUUUUUUUAAUAUCAGGCAAAUUACAAAAACAAAAAACCCUGAAGCGAAGCACAAUUACGAAAAUCUCCUAUGUUCGCAUAAUUAGAAAAUCCUUUUUUCUGACCAGUGUUUGACCAUUUAAACUCACAGAAAAUAUAUUUUAUCCGUUUUUUACCCUUCUNNNNNNNNNNNNNNNNNNNNNNNNNNNNNNNNNNNNNNNNNNNNNNNNNNNNNNNNNNNNNNNNNNNNNNNNNNNNNNNNNNNNNNNNNNNNNNNNNNNNAAAAACCACCUAGAGAUAUUUAUAUAUUGAAAAAAAAUCCUUAACCAAGGCUAGAAAUUGGAACAAAUUAAAUUCUGAAUUAUGUCAAUUUUGAUAUAAAAAAACGAUUUGUGAAUUUCUUUUGCAUUCUAAAUUUCCAAAAAAAAAAAAAAUAAAGGGUAAAUUACGAAAAAACCAUAUAAUCAGGUAAUGUUAGACGGUGCGUACCAGAAGGAAUCGUUGCCGUUAGGCCACAUGAGAUUAGUGAAACCUUGAGCUCCUUCAAGUGUGGUUGAAUAAUCAAUGCCUAAGCCUUCAUGCAGGGGCACAAUGGGCAUUUGACCCACAUAUCCAUGGUAGGGCUUGUCAUUUUUGUUCUGAAUCUUAACUUCUGUCGGGAGAUCGAAUAAUUCAUCGGCUGCUUUGAAGAUGGAUUUGUGAAGAUGGGUUGAUAUUUUAUCGUAUAAUGCUACGAAACAGCCGUGGUUUUCGAGGGCUCUUCUUAUUUCUUUGCACGACGUUGACCAAGAAAUUGACCCUGGUUUCAUCUCCUCCUUUGUGAAAUCUACUACUAAAAGUUCAGGAAUAGUUAGAGAACCCAUGAUUCUUGAUUUUCUUUAUUAUUUUUAUUAUUAUUAUUUUAUUUUUAAUUUUUUUUUUGAGAAAUUUGAGCUUAGAUAGAUAGAUAGAUAGAGUUUAUGUGGUCUUAUAUAGGAUAGGUUAUGGGUUUUAGUAUCGAUCAAGGGUCGAAUCCAAAUCUAACCUACUUAACCGGAGGCUACGACCCCUCACCGCCUCUGCAUAUUAUAUAGAGAUCUGUUAUUUUUCGAGGUUUAUAAUAUUAUGGUCCCUUGACAAAAAAAAAAAAUCAAAAUUUUAAGUGUAUAUUUGGCCCCAACGAAAACAAAAUCAUGUGUCCGCUACAACCAUGGUUAACAGAUCAGGUAGGUGGUUGGUUCAAUAUAGUUAUUACGUGGAUACAUAAUCGACUACGAUUUGAGGGUCGUAAAACGUUUGUACCUUGUUCUUUCCUUGCCUUAUUUUGUUUAGGUGUGUCGGUUUUUAAUCUUUCAUGGCUUCCUAUUUUCGAACCGAUUUCUUGUUUUGGAUUUUGAUAAAAUGAACUAUUAGGUCGAUUUGACAACGGCUAAUUAAAAAUAAAGGGCAAAUUACCAAAAACCCCCUGAGGUAAGCCUAAAUAACGAAAAUCUCCCUUACGUUCUCGUAAUUACGAAAACCCCCCUUGACUAACGGUUGACCGAAUUUUUUUAACUGACAACGUGAAAUGUCUCUUAUAUCCUUUUGUUAAAUAUGUAAAAAAUAAAGGGCAAAUUACCAAAACCCCCCUGAGGUAAGCCUAAAUAACGAAAAUCCCCCCUGACAUCCCUUUCACUUGAUGAUUUAUUGCUUUUAUAAAUUUAUUUAUUACUUUGUAAUUUGUAUUGAUAAUUUGAUAUUAUAAUUUUUUUAUUUUUUUUUCAUUUAUAUAUUUUAUUUGAUUUUAUUUAUCCAGAGGAGUAUUCAUACGGAUUUAUGCUUUUAGCUUGAAUGAUGCAUGGUUGUAUUUCUCGAAUUGUAAAAUAUUUAAUUUUAUAUAUAAAAAAUAAUUAAAUUUUGAAAUCUCAUUUAUUGAUUUUUUUAAUCCAAUAAAANNNNNNNNNNNNNNNNNNNNNNNNNNNNNNNNNNNNNNNNNNNNNNNNNNNNNNNNNNNNNNNNNNNNNNNNNNNNNNNNNNNNNNNNNNNNNNNNNNNNNNNNNNNNNNNNNNNNNNNNNNNNNNNNNNNNNNNNNNNNNNNNNNNNNNNNNNNNNNNNNNNNNNNNNNNNNNNNNNNNNNNNNNNNNNNNNNNNNNNNNNNNNNNNNNNNNNNNNNNNNNNNNNNNNNNNNNNNNNNNNNNNNNNNNNNNNNNNNNNNNNNNNNNNNNNNNNNNNNNNNNNNNNNNNNNNNNNNNNNNNNNNNNNNNNNNNNNNNNNNNNNNNNNNNNNNNNNNNNNNNNNNNNNNNNNNNNNNNNNNNNNNNNNNNNNNNNNNNNNNNNNNNNNNNNNNGAUGGAUAACUCAUCAUAGGUAAAUAAUAUAGUACGGGUCCAAUUUAUAAUUGACUAUUUGUAGACAAACUCAUUUAAUAUUUUCUGAAUUGUAUGAACCCCCUAGCUUAUGUUAAUGCCCUUUAUGCCAUUUUUCCAUAUUUUUCUCCAAUUUUCUCUAUCUUCUCCUUAUUUCUCUCAUAUCUCUAAUUUCUCUCUCUUCCUUAUUUUCCUCAAUAUUUGAUGUGUUCUUUUAUUCUUCUUAUUUUUCUCUCUCCUCUCUACUAUCUUCUCUCUCCUCCUAAUUUCCUCUUUUCUCAUAUUUUUUUCUUUUCUUUCUCUUCCCUCAAUUCAUCUUUUCUCGGUUGUUUCUGUUUCAUUUUUUUUUCCCUAUAUUUCUUCUCACUACUGUACUUUUUCUUCUAUAUCUCAUUUUUUGGUAGUUGAAAUUAAUUUAUUUUCUACUCUAUGAAAUUCAUGUUUUCAUGAAGAUGAGAUUUUUAUCAUGAGUAUUCAAUUUUAUAACACUAUAGUAUCUUAAAUUGAAAAAUAAUAUGGUGAAUUAAUGGAAAAAUUAUAGUUGACUACCAAUUUUUUUAUAGUUGACAUUUGAACAAUUAUAGUUGACUAUCUAUUUUUUGUACUUGACUCUAGCAACAAUAUAGUUAACUACCAUUUUUUUAUAGUUGACAUCGUAAAAUUUGACUAUCUAAUUUUUAUAGUUGACUUUGGGAGAAAUAUAGUGAACUACCGAUUUUAUAGUUGACUCUGAGUGUAGAUGACUACAAUAUUUUAUGUUUCGACGACACUGAUCUUUUCUUUGUUUUGGACUCUGAUAAAACAAAUUUCAUAGGAAACAAAUAUUUAUGAGUCAACAAAUAGUGUGACCAUUGAUGUGUAGAUCUAAAAAACAAUCGUGUUUACAAACUUCAUUUUUGAGUAAUCAACCAUGGAAGAAUUCCGAACCGUCGCAUAUGGUCGUCGCGUACCGUUGUAUACCGUUUCUGUAGGAGACCUCAAUUUUGUCCUUCGGAGUCGCUGAAGAGGGUGUCAAAAACAGAAAUUAUGUGGUAAAUGUACAUAAAUUAGGUUAAUAGACGUCGAGAGGAGCGAUGAGUGUAUAGGAAACUACAUGUCUGAUCUUCUUCUUGCUACCUUUCACCAUUGUUGUUGACCAGUAUUUCUCAACGAUUCUCAUACAAAUGUUAUUUGUCGUUUUAUUUUUUUUAAGAAAUGUAGCAACUAGGGCAUUGUUGCGUCUGGGAAAUGAUCCGAUAUAUUUGCAGAUUUUUUUUGGCGAUUUUCUUGGCACAAAUAUAUAUAGCACCGUAGCNNNNNNNNNNNNNNNNNNNNNNNNNNNNNNNNNNNNNNNNNNNNNNNNNNNNNNNNNNNNNNNNNNNNNNNNNNNNNNNNNNNNNNNNNNNNNNNNNNNNNNNNNNNNNNNNNNNNNNNNNNNNNNNNNNNNNNNNNNNNNNNNNNNNNNNNNNNNNNNNNNNNNNNNNNNNNNNNNNNNNNNNNNNNNNNNNNNNNNNNNNNNNNNNNNNNNNNNNNNNNNNNNNNNNNNNNNNNNNNNNNNNNNNNNNNNNNNNNNNNNNNNNNNNNNNNNNNNNNNNNNNNNNNNNNNNNNNNNNNNNNNNNNNNNNNNNNNNNNNNNNNNNNNNNNNNNNNNNNNNNNNNNNNNNNNNNNNNNNNNNNNNNNNNNNNNNNNNNNNNNNNNNNNNNNNNNNNNNNNNNNNNNNNNNNNNNNNNNNNNNNNNNNNNNNNNNNNNNNNNNNNNNNNNNNNNNNNNNNNNNNNNNNNNNNNNNNNNNNNNNNNNNNNNNNNNNNNNNNNNNNNNNNNNNNNNNNNNNNNNNNNNNNNNNNNNNNNNNNNNNNNNNNNNNNNNNNNNNNNNNNNNNNNNNNNNNNNNNNNNNNNNNNNNNNNNNNNNNNNNNNNNNNNNNNNNNNNNNNNNNNNNNNNNNNNNNNNNNNNNNNNNNNNNNNNNNNNNNNNNNNNAUAUUAAAGAUGCAAGUGAAUGGACGAAAUUACCCCUCAAAAUCUCACGUACAAAGCACAUGUUUUAACAUUCCGGUCGAAAUGGCCGGAAAAUUGAGUUUAGGGGGCAUCGUGCAACGAAUUAACGAGUUCAGGUAAAAACGUGCAAAUUUUGUAAGCUGGGGGGGCGCCGUGCAAAACACCCCAAAGUCCAGGGGGUAAAAUGCUUUUUACCCUUAAAAAUAAUAUAAGAUAGUUAGUCCUAAUAUUUUUCCUAAUGAGGGGGUUAUAUCUCAUUAACCCUAUAUAUAUAUAUAUAUAUAUAUAUAUAUAUAUAUAUAUAUAUAUAUAUAUAUAUAUAUAUAUAUAUAUAUAUGUACAUAUAUGGGCAAAUUGCACAGCCCCAUGUAAAUUUCUAAUUUUCGUAUUUUGCCUCCUCAAAUUUUUUAUAAGUGAAUGCCCCCCUCCCCCCUCAAAAUGUUAUUUUUGUUGUACAUUGCUCCCAUAGCAAAACUCCGAUUGAUUAUUCUUUCGAAUUGUUGCACGUUGCCCCAUUUAAAUGUUAUUUUUGUUACAUAUUGCCCCUUAAAAACUCUAUUUUUUUUUGCACGUAGCCCCUUUAAAAUGUUAUUUUUGUUGCACAAUGCCCUUCAAAAAUUGGUUUUUUGGACAAAAUGCAACUAAAAUAAUAUUUUGAAGGGGAAUAUACAUUUUUCAAAUUUAUUUGGGAUUAGGACAUCAUAAUUUGAAAGGCCAACCUAAGUUAUUAGAAGAUUAUGUCCUUCUCAACUAUCACAAAACUAUUAUUAUGAUUUUUGGUUUAAUAAAAUAAUUAAAUAAUAAAAUAUGCAUCAUCAGAUCGAUCAGUCAUUGGAUGAAUGUGACCCAUUUAUUAUCAAAUAUUUAUUACGUGUCUUUUUCAUAUUAUUGUCAUUUAUUUUGGACAUAAUUAAUUGAUGUGUUUUUAUAUAACAGAAGAGAUAAUAUAUGAUAUAGAAAGGUACAUAUAUGAUUUAUUUAGUUAAUGAUUGCUCGAAUAGAAACAUAGAACAUUAGCUGUCUUAUUCCAUUCACCAAUUUAAAUUAAUCAAUCGUGUUUUCUGUCCGAAUAAAUAAAGAAAACAUGGCUUUUAAUUAUAUAUAUAAAUCUUUGUCCAUAUUAUAGAUUAAAAUUGAUCCUAUAAUAUUAUAUAUGUCCGAUCAAUCAAUAUUAUUUAAUUAAAUAAAAUUGUAUAUUUGUAGUCACCAGUCAGGGUUGGCCCUAGGUUAAUUGGUGUUUGCAUAUGCUACACUCGGUAAAAUAUACCAUGUAGUUAUAUACUAUUGAUAUACACGUAUAUAAUAACCCAUGCACAUUUGUAUGUGUGUUUAGUGAGUGGUUAUUUGUAUAAAUAUAUAGCAACCGUAAAAUGGUGAAUUAUGAUGGUGCUUUUUAGUUUUUAUGUGUUACUAAUAUGCCCAAAAUUCUCCUUACACGAAACCUCAUCCUAUAGUUAACUACCGUCACAGCGUAACUCAACCAAAAUCUAAGGGGGUGUUUGCAAAAGCUUUUGGAAACAACUUUUGAGCUUUUUUUGCUAAUAUAAUUUGUUUUUAGGCGGUGUUUGCAGAAUCAGCUUGUACUUUUGCUUCUCUUAGAUUAAGUUGUUUUAAGCAGUUGUGUCCUGUGUUUUCUAUUUAAGUUAAUUUUUCAGCAUAUAUACAAACAUCUCCAACUUUUACAAAUAAGCGUACGUAAUACCCACUUAACUCACAAUCGUCACUAACUUCACAUUUUAAAUAAGUUUUUACCAAAAAUCACCUAAGAUUUCGUAAAAUUACACCAAUUUAAUAUCUUUUUCAAAUUUAUAAAAAAAAAAUCUUGUGAUAAUAAUUAGCAAGUACCCCUUAUGUUGUACUUUAUACUGCACAUCGCCUCAUUUAUCAGAUUUAACUCCUAAAUUUAAUGAAAAGACAAAAUUAUCCCUAAUUUAAAAUAAAGCAGAAUACCCCAAACUCAAUUAAUUAGAAAAUUGUGAAAAAAAUAAAGGGGGCGGAGUUCCUUGGGAGAGAUGGAACAGAGGAAAGGGGGCGUUUAGUACCCUUCGUUUUGGCAUUUGUGAGAUUUUGGCGAGUCGAGGGUUUUAGUGAGGUCGACGGUGGAGGGGCGGUCAUAGACGGCGGGGGUGGUGGCAGAGCUGGCAGUUAGUUCGGAGUUUUUUAAGUUGGCCGGCAAUGGUGGUUUUCGAUGUGGUGUAGGAGAGGGUUUUUUUGAAAGUGUAAGGGACUCAAAUAAAAAAAAUUAAUAAUUCAUUUUGGUGCUUACAAAAAAAGGUAAGGGUGAAUCUGUAAUUUGUAAAUAUAUGAUGAAGGGUAAUUGGGUCUUUUACGGUAAAAAAUAAUACUCUCAGUCGUAAAAUUUGCGUGCGCAACUCACGAUAAAUUGUUAGGGGCUUUUUCAGCUUUGACUACAUUUCAUAUGAGGGUCCUUGCAGGGCCGGUUCUGAGGGGAGGCGAAGUAGGCGGUCGCCUAGGGCCCCUGAAUUUUUUUAAUCAGGGGUACCUAAUUAUUAAAUUUAUAAUGUAUUAGUUAUUUACUUUUAUAUAUAUUCACUUGUUUUAGUGCUACUUCAUACAAAUUAUUCUUAAAAAAAAUUGGGGGUGCUGCCCCCGAACCCCUGUAAACUUUAACCCCACUAUGUCACAGAUUUUUAGCCUUGCCACUGGCUAUGUACCUUACAAAAUCGAGUUAACAUAGAGUUUAUCACCUUUUAGAAAAAAAAAAUGAGUUUUAUUGUAGAUUGUAGAAGGGGGCCCAUUUUUUAUCCGUCUUCAAAUCUCGCCUAAGACCCCAAAAUCUCAGAAACGGCCGUGAUAGGUUAUUGCAAAUAACAUAUAUUCUUUCUCGAAAAGAAAAAAAAAAAAGGCCACACAUGUUUAUUCCAAGACCAAAAGCCCAAUGCAAUAAUACAUCUCCACACCAACUGCACUGUAAUUCUUUUUUUUUUUGUCCCCCUUACACACAACAACAACAAAAUACAUCUACACAAAAGCACACCAAUAAUGCAUAAAUAAAACAAACAUUAUUAUAAAAAAAUAAAAAAAAUAGAACAAACAAUCCUUAAACACCACAGUAGGUUCUGAUAGCACUCUCAAGUCUCCUAUUCUCUUCUUUGCUGUAAAAAUCAAGAAACUCGAGAUGCUCAAACGGCUUAUACUGCAUCGGAUGAUCCUCGUCCACUAAUUCUUGCGGUAUUUCGACCGUUUUCUCCAAAAACGAAAACUGCGCAAUUGAAUAUCUUGCUUUUUUAGCUUCCAUGGUCACCCUAUGGUGUGGCGAUUUUAUCCGGUUAUUGCUCCAUGCCUAUUCCAUCCAAUUUAUAAACAAGUUUAUUGCAUUUAGUACUGAUGCUAUAUCGAACCGUUAAAAAACUCUCCGUGUUAUUAAUAUCAACAAAACAACCCCUUUUAAUGCAUCUUUUUUAGCACAUAACACAUGAAUAACGAGUUUAUAGGGGCAGUUUAGGAAGAAAAAUUGAACCAUGGGGGGGUUUUUUAAGAAUAGAGAAAAUAUAGGGGUGUUGAAUGCAAUAAACCGAAAUAUAAACUCACCAUUAUUGCGUCAUGAUGGGGGUUUGCUAUUAAAAAAAUACGGGGGGUUUUUAGCGAUUAGAGAAAAUACAGGGGUGUUGAAUGAAAUAAACAGAAAUAUAAUAUACUCACCAUUAUUGCAUCGCCAGCCAUAACUAUGACAGAUGAAGAAGAAAGCUGAUGAACACCAAACCAGUCACCAUCUUUGGUUUUGAUCUCCAAACCGUCAACUUGAUUCUGAUGAAUUGUAGACAUAAAACUCUUGUCUGUAUGAGACACAAAUCCCAUGUUAUUUUCAUUCGACUUCGGUUCUCUGUAUUUCAUUACCCUGCAGAGAUAGUUUGCUGAACCGAUGAGGGAUUCGUAGUGCUUCCCCACUCCGUAUCUCUCGAACACCAUUCGCACGACAAUUUUCUCCAGUUCCGCUGCUAACUUUGUGUACGAAACGAGUUUCUCACUGCGCCCAAAAAAAAUUUGAGUUAUACAGUAGAACCUUGAUAAACUAAUGUCCUGAAUCAUAAUUUAUUCGAAUCCCAACUCGGUAAAAACGUACUAAAAUUUUAGUUAGAUAGUUCAAUAUUUCGCUAAAUUAAUAUAAUUUGUUAGUCGCGAAUGUAUUAAUUUAUUGAGGUUUCACUGUAUCAGGCUUUUGAUAAUGAAAAUAACACAGGGAUGUUUUUCUUUAACAAUUUUAGUAAACAUAGGGGAGUUAGAUGAUACAUCUGGUUACUUACAUCGGGUGGAUUUGAAUCGUUGAUUUAAUUAAAUAAUUACCCACUGAACAAUGUGUGUGUGAUUAUGUAUAAAUCUAUGGUUCAAAUUCACCCAGUGUAAAUAGCCAGGUGUAGUAUCUAAUUUCCCGUAAACAUAGGGGUGCAGAAUGCGCAAAUAAAGUUACUACAAGCUAGUAAAACAUCCAUAAUUUAUCCUAAAUUUCUAGACAAGGAAAAUCAAAACUACUAUACACUAAAAAAAAUAUAAGCGAAAAAACAUGUAUUUUUUGUAAUCCGGAAAAAUUCGUACCUGAAAUCGUUAUAUCCAUUAGGCCACAUAACUUUGGCGAAAUUCUGGAUUCCUUGGAGGGUAUCGGCAUUAUCGAUACCCAUACUUUCGUAGAGAGGAAUGAAUGGGAUUUGGCCAACAUAGCCGUAUAAGGGCUUAGUGGAUUUGUUUUGGACUUUGGUUUGAGUUGGGAGAUCAAACAAUUCUUCUAGGGCUUUAAAAACUGUAGUGUGUGUUUCUUGGGUGAGUUUAUCAUAUGAUGCCACAAAACAACCGUAUUUUUCGAGUGCAGAGACCACUUCGUUGCAUGUUUUGGACCAUGAUUCUGUCCCGGGUUUCAAGUUCUUGUCUGAGAAUUCAAUGACAUCAAGUUUGUGUUCUUGUGACAGAGAACCCAUGAGAGAGAGAGAGAGAGAGAGAGAGAGAGAGAGAGAGAGAGAGAGAGAGAGAGAGAGAGUUGAAGAAAUAGUAUGAUACUUUUAUCAUGGAUGCAGGCAUUGCUUACUUAUAAUAACUUAUGUAGCGCGGACAUGGAAACAGUGAUACGGGGAAACGGCAUAUCCCAAAAAUAGGGAUACGGGAACUUGAGGGAAAUAUGUAAAUAUUAAAAAUAUAUAGGGGUAUAUUUAUAAAUUCUUUUUAUAUGUCUUCGUACAAACAUAUUCAAAAUAAAUAUUAUUAUCAACUAACUAUCAAUCUGCAAUAGAUCAUUAAAUCAUAUAAAUAAUUAGGAAAGGCAAUAAAAAUAUUUAGAAAUUCGUUAUUCAAACAUGUUUCUAACUUUUUUAAAAUUUGCAAAAUGGCCCAUAAGGUGUCCGGCGGGUGUCCUAGAGUAUCGGACAUAAAACGUGUCCGAAAUUAUGUGCCAAAUUAAAUAGCAAUAGUAUUAAUUUAAUAAAUGGCAUAUAGUACACAUUAGUUUUAAUUAAUUAUUCUUUGAUUAGCACCGGCCCAUUUGGUGGAGGGGUCCUUCUCCUGCUAAUAGUUUAUAGUUCAAUUAUGGGUUAAUUGCAAAUACGAUCCAUGUGUAAUCUCUAAUUGUCAAAUAUCCCUGUCAAAAAAUAAUUCACUCAUGCCCUCCUGUGUUAACAAAGUCAAUGCAUUAAGACCCCCUAAACUAAGGGCCGAUUUGCAUUUUACCCCCCAAACAAAAAAACUAACCAAAAUAAUUCACUCAUGCCCUCCUUUUUUUUUUGUUUUUUUUGUUUUGUUUUUAUAUAUUUAUUUUUUAAAAGAUUAAGUUAUAUUUAAUAUACAAUAUGUAAGUGACGGACGAAUAUACCCCUGCAAAUGUCACAUGCAAGGCACAUGUUUUAACUUUCCGGACAAAAUUGCCGGAAAAUUGAGUUUGGGGGGCACCGUGCAACGAAUUAACGAGUUCAGGUAAAAACGUGCAAAUUUUUUUUGUUUGGGGGGUAAAAUGCAAAUCGGCCCUUAGUUUAGGGGGCAAACUGCUUUUUACUUUUUGUAAUUACAAAAUAAUUUUAUUUUAUAUAAAAUUAGAUAAUUAUGAUAUAAAAUUUGAUGUAAUUAAAAUCCAUUAUUAUGUACUAAUUGCUGAAAAAACCCUAGGACAUUUCAGUCUUUUACCUUUCGUCAAAGCCUAAAAUAAAAAAAGGUGCAGUGCGCUUCGAAAAUAUUAACACAGGGGGGCAUAAGCGAAUUUUUUUUAUACAGGGGGUAUUUGGCAAUUACUGAUUACACAAGGGUGGUAUUUGCAAUUAACUCGUUCAAUUAUUACGAUUUACGACAAUAAUUUGCGAUUAUUCUAAUUCAAAAUAUAUCUUAUGCAUGAUUCAUAUGUGUUUAAUAAAUUUUACACUCUGUUUACAUGAUAAUUAAGGGCCAACCAAGCACACCGAAAAUUACUAUUUUAGCCCACCAGCAACAAAGGAUUACAUUCGAAGAAAAGGGACUUUUUCGACAAUAGAAUAAAUUAUAGGGAUUUGAUGCAAAAAAAAUAAAAAUUAUAUGAUAUAGAAUAACAUAAAUCUAUCUCUUCUGGAAGUUGAAAAAUCUGAUGGCGAUUCCAAAUGUGAAAAUGAAAAGAACAGUGAAUGCAACAUGCAUGCCUGCAACUGCUCCAAGAAAAUCGUGUUCGAAACCGAAGUAGCUUUUCAAGAACUCUUUCACCGUCACGCCCGGUAAUAUAUAAUUCUCCAAAUCUCCGAAUUGCGACGCCGUCAAACCGUACAUCGUCCAAGAAAUUGGAUCCGCCCAAUAAUACCAUCUCCACCACACAGGGAUGCUCUGGUUUCAACAACAAUUAAAAGAAGAAGAAGAAUUAAUAAUUCGGUUUCAAAUAUUUUUUUCGUGUUUAUGAAAGGAAAUGGAUUUGGUUUUUGAACUUACGGGGCGUGGGAUGAUGAAACCCGAGAAGAGAUUCCAUAGCAGGAUAAAGAAAGUGCCUACCACCGAGCCGAUGUGGUGGUUUGGUGACACGGACAAUGACAUCAUCCCGUAGAAGGUGAAGUACAAUAGACACAAGUACAUGAUGAACAAAAACCACAAGAAUUUUGGUACUGUCCAUUCGAACCCAAUCAUUGGAUAAACAAUCAGGCCGAAGGCGAUAGCUUGCGCGAAAAUAUAAGGAAACUCAAUAGCAACCUACAAAUAAUUAAAAAGAAAAAAAAACUAUAAUUAGUUUGCAAUUAAAAUUAAAAAAAGAAAAAAAAAACUAUAAUUAGUUUGCAAUUAAAAUUUAAAAAAAAAAAAAAAAAAAAAAAAAAAAAAAAAAAAAACAAGAUUAAUCAACAAGAGUUUAUAGAGUCAAUUGGCUUAAUUCCACUUUGCACCCUUGAAAAAUACCAUUUUGGCACUUUGCACCCUCGAAAAAUAAUAAUAGCACUUUGCACCCUCAAAACACAAUAAAUCAUUCACAGUGCACCCUCAAUUGAAUAAUAAAGGCAAUUUUAUUUUUCAUUGGUGUUUUUCUUUUUUGGGUACAAAAUAAAAAAAAAAUUGUUGUUUUCUUGAACCUCAAACCUAAUUUCGAGCGGACAAAGUGCGAAAAAAAAAAAAUUACACCGGAUUAUUUAAAAAAAACUACAUUAUCUUACAAAAGAAAAAUAAAAAAAAAUAAUCUUUUAUCACUAAAUUAUUCGAUUGUGGAUCUUUUAUGUCACUGUUUGUAAAAUAUUAGGUGAAAAUAUUUGGAAGAAAAAAUAAUUUUCAGAUAACUUGAUAACGUAAUAGCUGAAUGAUUUUUUUUCGUAAAAUAUUUUAUUUUGAUAAAACAAUAUAAUUUUUAAAUAUGUUGAUGGAAUGUAUUUUUAUUUUUGAACUUUAUAGUUUCAAAAUGAUUGAUGAAUAAAAAAAAUAUUUGACAUUUGGCAUGCUAAAAAAAUAUCACUACAAAUAUUAAAUUUAUAUUUUUUAGCUUUAAAAAAUCAUUUGGGGUGCAUUAUGCAUGAUUUAUUGUAUUUCGAGGGUGCAAAGUGCUAUUAAUUUAUUUCGAGGAUGCAAAGUGCCAAAAUGGUAUAUUUCAAGGGUGCAAAGUGGAAUUAAGCCGAGUCAAUUAUAUAUAUAAACCUGUGCUAUAGCAUAGGGCAUGGAUGAAUACAUCCCCGCAGCUCUUUCUCUAUAGAAAACAGUUCUCUCGAUAGCAACGACCGGCUGAACUGCAAUGGCGUUUUGGAUGCCUAAGAAGAGCACAGAUCCGUACAUAGAACCGAUGCCGUUGAGUAUAUUCUGUACACCAUUCCUGCUCAUUUUCAAGAAUUUUUUUAUUAUUAAUAUUUUUUUUCAAAUAAUUCCGUUUUAUGGGAUUAUUCAGAAAAAUACCUAUUGGAGCCGAAAUCCCAGAACAUGCUUCCCAUGAUGAGAGCUAUGAAUAUGGUUGAGAAAAACCGAACAGCGGUGUAAGGUGGAUUUCUCCAGUAGGACCAGUGUUGCUUCCACAGGCAAUAUAGGCAUUGGAUGUGGAAUGGCUGAGAGUAUUUAGUACGAAAAUAUAGCUCUUUCGUCUCUGGUUUCGGCGAACUCAAUUCACUAAUUAGAGCUUUGUUCCUCCUGGUAAUAAUAUUUAAGGUUGUUAGAAAAGAAAAAAAAAUAUUACAUCAUGAUAAAUCAGUCAUAGUGUUAAAUGAAGAGCAAACCUGUAUAAUUCGGAAUCUUUAUAUAAGCGAGAGAAAUCGACCCCUACGGACGUUUCUUGAGCUGGAGCAGUAAUUUCCAGCAUCCAUGUUGCUGGAUUGUAACCGUCUUUUAUUCUGCUAACUCCUUCAAUACUCUUUUACGGUAAAUAACAAAUAAAAGAAUACUAUAUUAGUCUCUCUUCUUCUUCUUGUUUUUUCUUUUUCUUUUUUUUUUUCUAAUCUUUGGCAAACUAACCUCAAAGUACUUGAUCAGAUGGCACGAAUGGCGUCCCAACGGGCCCACGUAUAUCUCUUCCCCUCCUCGUUUAAGCAGAAAUAGCUAGUAAUUUUAGGUCAGUAAUUUUGAACAAAGAAUACAGACAAGAUCAGUUAAGGUUAUUCAUUUAACUAGUUUCUUUUCACCUCAUCGAAAGAUUCGAAAAUGUCAAUGCUAGGCUGGUGUAUGGUGCAGACAACUGUCCUUCCAGUGUCAACGGUGUUUCUAACAGUUCUCAUCACAAUUGCAGCAGCUCUUGCAUCUAAGCCUGAAGUUGGCUCAUCCAUGAAUAUUAUCGAUGGAUUCGCCACGAGCUCGACUGCAAUAGUCAACCUCUUUCUCUGCUCGGUCGAUAGACCGUUGACACCUGGCAACCCAACUAUCGCACCUCUCAACGGUGUGAGUUCAACGAGCUCCAUCACUUCAUCAACAAACAUCUGCAAAUGUGCUUGAUAAAUGCUAUUACAAAAUAUUAUUUUUUUAAUAACCUUAAUUAGAAAUUAAUGGAUGGUUUGCUAUAAUAAUUACUGACACUUUUUGUUUUAGCAUCGAUAUCGGGAGAUAAACGAAGCCAAGCCGAAUAAAGUAAGGAUUCGUGCACAGUUACGUGAGGGGAAUGGAUAUCGUUCUGCUCACAAUACCCUGAAAUUCUAGCAAAUGUUUCUUGCUUUUUAGGGUACCCUGAGAUUGUGAUGCUCCCAUCUAUAUAGCCUCCCGUUUUCCGACCAGCCAGCACAUCCAUUAGGGUUGUUUUUCCGGCCCCACUAACUCCCAUCAAAGCUGUAAGAAUACCUGGCCUAAAAGCUCCACUCACACUCUUUAAAAGCACCAGUUUAUCCUCAAGAAAACCUCUGUCUUUCAUUUCCUUGAAAGCAAAAAAAGAAAAAGAAAAGAAAAAUCACUCAAUAAAAUGUAGCCUAAAUUCCAUUUUCAAAAUAACACCCGAAUUUUUUUUAAGAAAUUACCUGUGGCAUAUUAACAGAGUACACAAUUUCAUCAAAGGUGAUGGAAUGCGGUUCGAAUGGAAGAACCAUUCCCCUUUUCCUCUUGUUGGCAUCAACAAGACUAUUUAGUCUCGUUUCGUCGUCGUUUGGACUAUUUUCGCUUUUGUCUUCUGAUUUAACAGCUUGAGCCUCUCCAAAAGCUACAUAAACACUAUUUUUUUUACGAAUGCGACUCCAAAUUUUAAAUUACAUAGAUUCUAAAAGAAGAAACGCAGAUACAAGUACUUACGGUUGAGAUACAUUAGAGCUAGCAUGACGCCUAUGUUGAAUAGGAUUGUGAAUCCGAGUAAUGCCACUAAUCCUAUCCAGUACAUUUGUGCUUGUGGUAAGAAUCCACGGGCUUUUAGAACCUCAACUCCUAAUGAUUCAUUCUUGUAUCCAACAACCUUUAGGACAUAAACUUAUCAAUAAUCAUCUUCUUUUCUCUUUUCAAAAGCAAAAUUAGGACAGUGAAAUACGCUACAAUUUUUACAGUCAGCCAUGUAUUUACUUUAUUAGCAUAAACCCCACUAUAUAUGUUCGGAAGUUAAAUAUAUGCUCGGAAAUUAAAGCCAAAAGGUACCCCUUUGACCUCAUUGUUUCGCAAUUCACCCACGAAAAAAACACACAAAUUCUGAUAGAUGGAACUUACAUGUUGCCAACUAUUCCCCCUAAAUUCAUUCACGACAAGUGCAUUCUGCGCGUACAUCAUUGGCGAGCACCAAUAAGCCCAUAUCCACCAUUUUUUCACACUCACUGUAAAAAAACAGAAAAAAAAGGGGGGGAUGGACGUAAUUAAAACAUAUGAUUAGAAUUGCUUAAGAAUGAAUCGAAUCAUUAUCAACCUUACGAAAUUCAAUCUUUUUUUUUUGGGUUCUUGUUCUGUACCUCGUGACAUGACAACACCACCCAAUGCAAAAACUGCGAACAAUACAAUUGCACCAAACGUAUUUGCAAUGAUCAUGUUCCUGCCCACCGCUCCGAUCAGCCGGAACAAUCCACUGGCCAUCUGGUUUACAAAUAACAACAGCAAGUAUUGUUUGAAAAAUCUGCAUUAAAGAUACCAUUUUAUGUUAGUUAGUACAAAGAAACACACAUGUACCCACAAAUGCACACACAUGAUCUUGCAUUGUACUCCCUAUGUUCCAUAAUAAUUGUAGUAUAAUAUUUCUACACACAUAUUAAGAAAGUUCAUAAAUAUGCUUGAAUUUUAGGAAAAACACACAUAAAAAGACUAAAAUAUCCUUUGUUAUUUAGUGAAGUGAUAUUUGAAUUAAUGUUUAAUAUAGAGUUGAAUUCUAAUAACAGGCAGAACAGGAAACAAUACAUUUAAUGCAUCAUUGGGACUCUAAAAUGAGAUUCAUAUGGAACAAAAAAAUAUGAAAGGGAGGGGUGUAUAGAAAUUGUACCUUGCAGCAUUGGGAUCGUACCCCGUGACAUAGUAGGUGAUUAAAACCCAAGCCCCUACUUCGACAAACGAAAUGGGUAUCUUGAGUAUCCACAUUGGGAGCGCAUACACCCAAGGAGGAAAAAAGAGAGACUCUCUAUGUUUGUAAAAAACGGGAAGUUUGUAUAUUGUCAUGGAAAUCUCAGACAUUCCAUUGAACAUUACUAUAGUUGCGCUGAAAAACAAUGCACCGACAAAUAUAUAUCCAUCCUCUAAGCUACGGCGGUGCAUCGUGGUUCGGAAAAAGAUCGUCAUAGAUACCAAGGCAAUUAUAAGCAUCUGACCAAAUAAAAAGACUUGAGUUUUUAUUAAAAAUAAAAGUAGUAAAAAGGGAUAUAUAUAUAUAUACACACACACAAAAACCAACCUGUAAGAUCUUGAAGAUAUACACAAACGAGUUUCUUUUCAUGAGCAAGAUUUCUCUUAUAGAGCAAAUUCUUAAUAACUCCUUCGUGGUGGUGCCGUAUUUUCUGGUUGUUAAAGCGGCGGGGUGGCUUUUCGUCUUGUCGAACGGAGAUGCAAGAUUUUCGUUGAGUCUCCGUCCAAUGUGGAAUGAUUUAAACGCCUCGACAAAUUCACUCACUGUCACGAAUCUGUAAGGCUCGUUGAUCUUCAUCCAAUAUUGUUGCUGAUCUUUCAUUGAUGUCACCUGUAAAAGAACUGAUUUUCCUCAUUGUGCUUACUGAGAAAAGGACUUGUAAUGAUGGUUAGUCUUGAAUGUGAUUUUCUCUGUACUUGUUCUAACUAUCAAAAAAUUAUUUCCUAUUACUUAUAUUAACAUAAACCCGACUUUGAUCGGAAGUCAAAGACUCAUUUGACCCCAAUUUGUUUCGCUGAUUUGACCUCUUACUAGAUGAGGUGGUCAUUCAACAGUAGCAAUUCGAAAAGGCCAAAGGGGUAUUUUGCAAUUCACCACUCAUCUUAAAAUGUGGGGGAAGUACACUUUACACCCUUAACUAUGGGCAACGUACCAAACACCCCUUUGAACUUCAAAACGUACCAACAUAGCCCCUCUGUUUAAAAUCCGCCUGCCCUUGCGGAUGUGGCGCUUUGAAUUUUUCGUUUAUAGGCGUUGGAGUGACCGUUGUGCUUUUUUUCAGAAUUUUACCCUUCAACUGGUUGUAUAUAUAUAUAUUGAUGAACGAAAGCCUGUUUUGACUUUAUCCUUGUACUUUUUCCGAUUAUCUUUGAACAGAAAAGCCCACGGCUUGGAAUCUGUGUUAUAAGUUGGUUGAGACAUUUCAUCAGUCACCUUGUGUGCCUCAUUUGCGCACGAAAUUCCUUAAGCAUUAAAUCGUUUCCACCAUCCAUACCCAAGUCAGAAUCAACAUCAAAUUUCUUCGCUCCCAACCCCUUUUCCAUGACAGCAAAAUCACGCCAUAAAACUCGCGCAGAAGAGCUUUUGCUGUAGGUAGCAAGCCCCUUUCUAUUCUUAGCAUUUGAAUACCUUUCUAAACUUCAUAAGUGUUAAUAAAAAUCUGGUGGAAAUAUCCCAGCCAAAUAGCCCAAGAUCAAAGAAACCCAAACCAAAGAAAAAUUCGCGCGGAGGAAAAAGAAUCGCACAGAAAAACUGUUAACUCAGCAAUUUUUGAAUUUGAACAGAAAUUAACAAUUUAAUAUUGGAAAAAUAUAUCUCAGAUUUUAACGAAACGGUUGUAGCAGUCAGAUUAUUGGGAAAUGGGCUCAGAAGAUCGAUCAGAAUUCAGCAAGGAAGCACAAGGAGGAAGAUAGAGAAUCUUCUUUCAGGGAGAGAGAAUCUCUCUAUUUAACUACUUUUUAACUGAUAUAUCAACUGAGGGUGUAAAUGUAAUUGCAUAUUAAAAAUUAACAGUGUUAGUUUUCCUAAGAAAUUGCACUUCACCCCCUAUAAAUUUCCAAUUUCUGCAUUUUUAUUGGACGUUGCAGCUUUAAACUAUUAUUUUUACUGUUUAGAAUAAUAUUUUUAUUGCAUAUUGGUCCUUUAAAAUGUUAUUUUGUGCCACGUUACCCACUAGAAAUUGACUUCUGGAGCAAAGUGCAACCGAAGCAAUAUUUUAAAGGACGUUUGUCUCUAUUUUUUUUAAUUUCAAGUGGAGAAAGUGCGAAACAAAAAAAAAAUAUUGCAUACACAAUUAAUUACCUCUUGCAAGAAAUCGGCCACUGCUUUCCUCUCCGGACAUUUAAACCCCACGGAUUCGAAAAAUUCUAAAACGUUCUCUCGAGGGCCUUGGUACACAAUUUUUCCAUCGGACAAUAACACGACAUCAUCGAAUAGUUCGUAAGUCUCGGGUGCUGGUUGAAGGAGUGAUAUUAGUGCAGUUCCAUUUAGAAUGUGAACGAACUGUCUUAACGACUUCACGAUUUGGAACGUUGUGGAACUGUCCAAUCCAGUCGAAAUCUCGUCCAUGAAAAGAGCGUUCGUUGGACCAACCAGCAUUUCACCUAUCGAAUUAAUUAAUUUUUUUUUCUUUAAUACAAAAUUAAUAUCCAUUUCAAAAUAUUAAUGUACAAAAAUCAAAUUGAUUUUAUUCUAUUUUACCUGUCGUAACGCGUUUUCGCUGUCCCCCCGAAAUUCCCCUUACUAACUCGUCUCCGACCAUAGUAUCGGCGCAAAUCUCGAGGCCUAAAAUCUGCAAAGAACAUAUUUGUAAAUUGUGAUUUGAAUUUUCUUUUUUCUUUUUUUUUUUUUUUUUUUUUUUUGCAAAUUUGAAAAAGUUAAGGAUGUUAUUAUACCUUGAGAAUAUAAUUUGUCAUUACACUUGCUUCUUGUCCUUGUGUCGAAACAGCCUGCAUAGUCGAGUUACUUCAGAUUUCUCCGAAAAUCAUAGAAAAUAUUUACAUAUACCUUCAAAUUAAUUAAAAAAAUAAAUAAUUAAAAAAAUUAAGUAUUUACCUUCAUGAAGAUAUCAAUAUCAGGAUCAGGUUUAAUAUUAGCAUUUUUUUCUCUUAUUGCCAAUUCAGACAACAUUUCUGCAAAUAUGAAACACCACAAACUUGAUCAUAUGCUAAUAAAUAAAUUUCAAAAAAAAAAAAAAAAAAAAAGAUCGACUAUUGACUGACCGUAGCGAGAUCCAACACCCUGGCAUCGAGCUGAAAAUUCGAGAGUUUCUCUGACAGUCAUUUCUCCGAUAUGAACAUCGUAUUGGCUAAUAUACGCCGCAGUUGUUUGUGGUACAAACUCAUUCAUUCCAUACCCAUUAUAAGUCACCUUUCCAGCAAACUAUUAUUGUCAUAAAUUAAUUAGUAUUAAUAUAUGUAUAUAUAAUAUUGCUCUUAAAUCGAAAUUCGAAUAAAUUAAUUAAUUAAUUUAUUUAUUUGGCAAGAAUAUAUAACUUAAAACCUUCAAAGAAGAAUUCAAUUUUCCAGCCAAGGCCAACAAAAGUGUUGUCUUUCCUGAGCUUGGAGGGCCUAGCAGCAACGUCAUUCUUGAAAAAUGGCACAUCGAAAAAGUUAAAAAUCUCGACGAUUUUUUUUUGUCGACUAAAAAAAUUAAUUUAAUAGUGAUGAUAAUCAAAUUAAUUUUAAAUGUAAAUGAAAUUCAUCAAAAUUGCAUCUAUAUAUAUCCACCUGCAUGGCUUGAUGAUUCCACUAACAUUCUGCAAAAUAGAAAUAUUCUUCUUCUUGCUUGGAAUUAUAUGCAAAUAGUUCAAAAAUCCCUAUUGAAAGAAAAUCAUGUACAAGUUAGAUUAAAAUUGAAUAAAUUAAUUAGUCAUUUUUAUUAGUAAAUAAAUAAAAAACUUGAUAAACUAUAUAAACCUGCAAUGUGUUAAUAAAGGAGUUAAAAAACGUCGGCAACGAUCGGCUCCCUACGUAAGCUUCCGCACCAACAGUUAGAUUCUCGAAUCUCACUUCAAUUGUGGGUAGUUCAAUUCCAACUCUAACCAAAAAAAAAAUACGACAAAAUAUAAUAUAAAAACGUCGAGAAAAUGAAAAAAAAAAUUAAAAGAUCUGUUUUGAGGUUAUUAUAUUAGUACCUGUCAAUCCGGUCUCUAAGCUUCGACAGAAACUUUUCGUUAUCUUCAUCGACGUCUUUUAUAAGCCUAUCGAGAAGAUCUUUUCGUUCUUGAAAUCCGAGUUUUCUUGCAUCAACUUCACUAGUGGCCCCACUUCUUGAUGCUCCUACUAAUAGAAGUCCCUUUUUCAAGCGAUCGUAAGUCGAGAGUUUUUCGAGCGCGGCCAAUUUUAGUGCUUCUUCGUCUUCUUCUUCGUCUUGUUGUCGUGUUGAGUUCGAGAAUAUUUCCAAGCCGUUGUUCCUCCAAAAGGACGAACUGUUGGCUCUAAAGCUACUACUUGGCUUGUAAAUUUCACUCUCUUGAUCCAUAUUUUUUUAUGAUCAAUAGAAUUCAAAAAAAAAAUGAAUAUGCAAAACUACUUGAAUAAGGUAUAUAUAUAUAUAGAUAAAUAAAUCUUGGAUAUUUAGCUAAUUACACAACAUGUGACAGAUUUGCAUGCAAAUGCUCUGUGACAACAUUUAUUUAUUUAUUUUUAUUUUAAAAGGAUUUUGAGUUCUUGAAGUGAAAUUGAUGAAGGAAAGAUAAUUAAUAUCUGCCAAAAAGUCUUGGUUGACCUGGAUUGAAGGGUAAUUUUUGUGUCCUUCCAUCUACAAGUUGUUUGUACAUCUAUUAAAGGGGAAUUGAAUGGCUAAUUAAUCAAAAUUUACUCAAUUUGUACCGAAAUAAAAUAAAGGAUAAAUUCUAUUUUUCCCCCUUAUACUUUGGUUCGGUAUCACUUUGCCCCUUUCUACUCUCAAUUGCAUCGAUUUGCCCCUAGACAUGGCCACGGGUCGGGUCUGACCCGGACCCGGCCCGGACCCGACCCGUUGACUGACCCGCCCCGCCCCGGACCCGGCCCGUUGACCAUGGACCCGGACCCGGACCCGGCCAAGUAAGGGUCGGUUUCGGGUCCCAACUUCUUGGACCCGAGACCCGCCGGGUCUACCCGGCGGGUGGACCCGAAGAACCGGACCCGAGGGCCCGGCCCGAGGACCCGUCGGGUCCACCCGGAUUUUUAAUGAAAUAAUCACCAAAAAUGCACCAACUGGGGAUCGAACCCGGGUAGCCCGAGUGAUUCACUGAACACUAACCACCAGGCCAACCAAUAUGUUUGAUUAUAUAUAGACAACAAAUGUAUAUAAUAUAAACCUAUGGCGUAAAUGAUAAAUAUGUUAAAUAAAUUAUUAAUUUUCAUAUUAAUUAUUAUUAAAUAAUUAACAAAUGCAAUAUAAGAAAAAUAUAUAUAAUCACAAUUCAAUACUUCAAAACAUCUAUUAUUAAUUAAUAUAUCAAUAUAAGCUCCACUGUUGAAAAAUAUAAAGUAUUGAAUCAAUUCAAUAUAUAAACAAAUGCGUUGACUUAUUAAAAAUUGACUUAUGUUAUUAAAAUCGAUAGUGUGAAAAAAUCGAAUGAAAAAUAAAAUAAUAUGUUUAUUUUAAAAAACAAAUUAUAACCCAUUUCAAUUAAUUUAAGUCGAUUAACCUCAAUUGUUGACAAUAACUUAUUAAUAUUAUUGAGUAUUUUAUCAUAAGAUAAUUAUUUAUAUAAAUGGUGUUUAUUUUAACAAAAAUAGAUUAUAUCCCAUUUCAAUUAAUAUUCUUACUUUAAAAAUAACAUUAUAUAUGACUAGUAUAAUCAAAAUAUUAUGAUGUAAUUUCUCUUUUAAUAAUUGAUUUAAUUUGUAAUUAAAAUCGUAGGAAUUAAAUUGUAGACCAUAUGAUUUAAUCGUUUUUUUACAUAUACAUUUUAUUCAAAUAUUAGAAUCGAAUCGUAAGAUUUAAAUGGAUUAAUCUAAAGUCCUUUUAAUUUUGAUAUUAUAUUUGUUAAUAAUGUAAUUAAAAUGGUUUAAUAAUUAUGAAUAUGAAAAUUAACAAUGCAUUUAACAUUAUUUAAUCAUUUCAUACUGUUUUGUUUAUGUUUAUCUAUAUUUCUUGCAAGUAAUUUCACAAAUAUUUAUCUUGUCUAAGUGGUUUGGAAUUCUUUUCAAGUGUCUUGUGACCCGGGUUCGAAUUCCAUCCAUAACAAUUUUGGACAAAAUUUAAAAAUCCGGUCCGGACCCGGACCUGGCCCGGAACCGACCCGGAACCGGGUGGACCCGAGUGGACCCGGCCCGGACCCGGACCCGCCUUCCCGCGGGUCGGUUUCGGGUCCUCCAAAACUCGGACCCGGACCCGGCGGGUCCGACCCGGAACCGGACCCGACCCGACCCGGGGCCAUGUCUAUUUGCCCCCAUGUACUUGAAAAAUUGUGUCAAUGUGGCCCUUGCCAUUAGUUAUUAGACAUUUAACAUUAACACCGUUUGAUCUAAAUAUGAAAAUUAUAAAAAAUUCGCCCCUCCCAGUUUAAAUAAUUAUUAAAAAAAAUGAAAAAUUUAAGAAAAAAUAAAAAUAAAUUGUGGUUGUCGUCGUGGACUAUGCUUUCUCGUUGUCUUGAAUUUUUUUUUUCUCUAUUUUGUUCUUUAAUAAUUAUUUAAGAUGGGGUCAAAUGGUGUUUUUGUAAUUUCAAAACUUAGACCAAACGGUGUUAGGGGUCAAAUGUCUGACAACUAACAACGAGGGCCACAUUGAGACAAUUUUUCAAGUAAGGGGGGCAAAUUGAUGCAAUCAAGAGUAGAAGGGCAUAAAGUGAUAUCGAGCUAAAGUACAACGGGGGAAACUGGAAUUUACCCUAAAAUAAAUUAGUGUGAUUUUAUUUUAAUUAAUUGUCACUUUUUGUUACAAUGAUGCAUUAGUUUGCAAUUUUAUCGGUUUUAGACUCUCUUUGUUUCAAAUAAGUGUCGUUUAGAGUUGGUGUACGCAUGUUAAGAAAACUAAUAAACGCGCAAGUUUUAUAAAAAAAAAAUAGUGCGACUGAAGUACCCUCUCAUUAAAAGAAAAGUUUUGUUUUUCUUUCAAGUAACUAAAAGUAAUAAAGGCAUCAUUGGAAUUCUGAAAUGACAAAUAAUAUGGAUUGUGGAAUAAGAAAAAAUUCUACAAAUUGAUAGAUAAUUUGGAAAUCGAAAGAUAAUUAGUGGAUAAAUUGAUCAGAAAUUUAGUACGUUUUCCUCAAGUCUUUGCAUAUCAAAUAUUUUGACAUAUACAGAAUACUCCCUUUAUUUCUAACUAAUUAUUUAUUUUCACAUUUGCACAAGUGUUAAGAAAUUCAAUAAAUGCGACUUGAUUUUAGUAAAAAAAAUUCACAUAAAAAAACUAAAAUAACCUUUAUUAUUUAAUAAUUUAUUAGAGAUGUUUAAUUUUCACAAUUGAAUCAAUAAGAUUAAAGCAUGAAAACAUAUAUUUAAUGCAAUAUAAAAUUGUAAAUGUAAAGUGACAAAUAAUAUAUAUUAAAAAUAUUUUGCAAAAGUGACAGCCGUUGUGGAACAGAUGGAAGUAACAUUCGAUCCCGAAAUCUAUGAUUUAAUAGGGGUAGCUAGGAUUUUAAUUAGUAUUAAGUUUUAUUCAUGAUUAUAGCAUUGGCAAAAAGAAACGUAAAGCAGGUAUUAUUGCAGCCCCCUCUUUCUAAAUGAACGAUUUUGAAGUUGACUUUUUCCAAACAUGUGAAAUUAAAUCUUUGAAUUUGAGGGGGGCGGCGGUAGGGGUUGGGGGUAGUGGAUGUUGAGUUUAAUUAUUUACGAAUAUCCGCUUCCAGAUUAGAUGAAAUUAUCUUCCAAAUUCGACAAAAUUUAUUCUUAAUAAUCAUAAGAUGGGGUGAAAAAAAUGUUAAAACGAUAUUUAAAGUCUUAAAAGACGAAAUUACCCUUCCAAUUUACUCAAAUUUGAUAGAAUUAGACCGGAAAUACACAUUUGGGACAAAGUGCAUCAAGUUGUAUAUUUUGAAUGGGGAUAGUCUCGAUUUUGUAUUUUUGAGGUGGGAAAUGCAAAAAAAACGUUUUUUUCAAGGGGAGAAGUGCAAUUUACCCUAUUUAAUAUGUAAAAUAAAAGUUUUAACUUUUUGGAUUACUACGGUUGGUCGGUUUGUUAUCACUUAUCUCUCAACAUUUACUACAAAGGGUAUUCUUUGUCCACGUAGAAGUAAAAAGAAAAAUCAAUUUUUUAAGGUCAACGGUCAAAUUGAAAAUCCAUACUAUUUUUUGUUCCACGAGCUAUGAACCACGAUUCAAACUCAAUUUGAACAAGAAAAAAGAAUAUGAAAACAAAAAAUCAAGCAACUUGACCUCGACUCGAUUGCGUAUCAAAUCAAGUUCAAACACAUCUUUAAAAGAUCGAUAAAAAAAAAAAAAUCAAACAUGCAUUCUGCUCGAUUCAAUUCGUCUACACCCUUAUUUGUCAGUAGUUAAUCUUAUGAGAUGGGGGUUUAAAAAUAAAUUAUAACUCGAGUUUUUGUAAUACAAUAAAAACAGAUGAUUUUGUGAUGUAAAUUCUUUUAAGAUUAAAAUCAUAAGAAAUAUCAAUAGUGGAUAGAAUUGAAACCAUAGCACAUGAAAAAAAUGUGCAGAUAAUUAAUUAAACAUUAAUUUGCUUUGUCCGCAGAAAAAUGUAGAUAGAGAAAGGACAUAAUUAAAUAGAAUGUGUAAUUUCAAGAAUGCCGACUAACCUAAAAAACGUUUAUAGCAUGCAUAGAUAGAUUAGGAUAUUAGAACUGCCUAACUUAAAAGAUGUCACACCACUAUGUAUCUAGAAUCAUAUAUCUCAUUAAAUUGGACGGCACUUCCUUCAACUCAAGCUUUUAGAGAGAGAAAAACCGAACCGAAAUUUUGUGUAUGUGGGCCCCACCUAAAAAAAAUGAAGGGCCCACCUCUCUGGUGGACCGAUAAUACAAUUAGAAAUGAACACUAUUAAAAGAAGAGAAAAGUAGUCAUGAUAAGAUGUAUACCUAAUUAUUGCGAGGUUCGUAUUUACUAUUUAACUAGUGUUUGUACUCAAAAUCUAAUGUUUUAGCAUGAUUUCUAAUUUUAUUAUUAGAAUGUUUUAUUUUUUCUUCUGAAAAUCGUGUGAAUUGUAAGAUUUUUUAAAGUUUACGAAUUAUUUAACAAUUUGAAUCGAGAAGGGUUCGAUUUGAAUCGUAAAGUGUAUGAUUUCAAUAACCAUGGGACUAUUUAAAAUCUUACGAUUCCGUAUAUCGUACGAUUUUAAUAACUACGGGACUAUUUAAAAAAAAUAGAAUUGCGGUAAUAUUUUUAUAGUACUUUACAACUCCAAUUAUUUACAAUAGUAGGUUUUCGAGAAGUGAUGGAGUCAUGGCCCCUAUGGUCGUAUGUUUUGCACGUAGGAGUGGAAAUCGGAUGGAUAGGAUUGAAUUAGCACAUUCGAAAAAAAAAUUCAAUUUUCGGGAGCUGAAAAACUAAUUCCGAUUCUGCUAGAGAAAAAAUGGGAAAAGUGAAAACUGUAAUGGAAAAACUUGUUCCAAAAUCAAAAAUUUUAGGAUUGGAAUAGGAGGAAUUCAGAAAAUUCGAAUAUGUUGUAACCUAAAAUGUAAAAUACAUAAUAAUUUUGAUAUUAUAAGUGUAUUUUUUGGGAUUUAACGUCAGAUCGAAAAUCGGGAUAUCAUAUAUAUUCCAAUUCCAAUCUAAAAAAAAUCGGACAAAUCGAAAAUCGCAAUAUUCAGAAUUCGGAAUGAAAAAUAUUGUUCCAAAGUUGAAAAUUUUCAGAUCGGAAUCGGCGGAAAUCAGAAAUUUCAUUCCAAUUUCCUCGCGUAACUGCACUUUAUUCUCUGACAAUGGAAUUAUAAUCAAGAACCAGACAAUAAUUAAUUAACAAAAAGAUUUAAAAAAAAACAAGUAAUUAGAGACACUAAUCCAUAACAUUGAUAACUCACCCUCGUUGGAGGAUUAAGAUAAUUAAUCUCAAUUAAUCACUGUCUCUCCGUAAUGUAGAAUCUCCGUUUACGCCAGAUGCCAGCUCAGCUUCGAACGAGAGAGACGACGGCAGUCUCUCGUAAACUCUCGAGCCCAAAGGCAGAAGCUUCGCCUGCCUCGCAACGAGCUUCCCUCUAAGCUUCUCGUAAUUCCACCUCUGCUGAACAUAAACAAUUAACGCUAAAAGAAUCGAAACAAUCGGAAUAGCAAUGUCGCCGAAUUUGGAAUAGAAAUCCGUUCGAAGGUCCGCAAACUCGUAGUCGUUGGAGUAGUUAUAAGGAUUACUCGGGAAAGGCGAUUUUACGAAAUCGUACGCGUGCGGAAAAAUCCGAACCAAUGUUAGUCCAAUGUAGUACAUUUUCCUCAGGGGCUUAACUUGGACCAUCCAUAGCAAGUUCCCGAUUACUUGCGGAAGAAGGAAGAAAUCUUGCAUCAAACCGACGUACUCCGCCAGCUCAGCCUCCCAUGCGCUGACGGGGCGAGAGUAUUCGUUAGAAUCUACAAAAGAUUCACUUUGACGAGGGUCGUACCUCGAGGUUUUAUAAUGCACGAUGAGAGCGAGUAUAUAUCCAAGAAUGUGUACAAUUGAAGUAGCGAAAAGGACUUUUUUGUCAUUUGGGACUCGGUGCGGCUCUAACGGGGAUCUAGUCAGCAUUCUUACACGGGAUUUCCAUACUUUCUGACAAAGCCUCAUAGUCGACAAAAACGCAAUCAGCACUAAUAAUUUCACCAUAUAGUCGAUGACAAGAAACGGUUGGCCUUUCUGCAAAUUUUCGAAUCCCGUUUUUGCCUUUUUUCCGAAAAGGUCUUCGGCCCCCGUAAUCAGCGGUAGGCCGUAGCUAAUCGCUUGUACUCCAAGCAUCACGAGCGAUACGUACGGGACAUUUACGAUAUUACCCCUCACGUAAAAAAGCUGGGUCGAUAUACAUCCGAUAGCCAAAGACAGCGUCGCAAUGCGGAGGAUCCCUUCCACGCCCCGCCUCGAAAGAAUAUCCUCCCAUUGAUUCCUGUACAAAACGGGGGCCGUAUGGAUUUUAAUCGGACUAAAAUAAAGAGGGUCGUCUUUUUCCCGUUGACUGAUCACGGAAACUUUGGCGGUGGGGUCCACCAGCCAACGGUCAGUGGUCGGGGGGUAGGAAAUUACGACUUCGACCUUACAAUCGAGCCCCUUUUCCGCGAGGGCCACACAACCAAUAAGAUACAUUUUCCCGAAAAGUGGAUUGUAGAUUCCCUCUACGGAUAUCGAAGAGUAGUUGUAUGCGUCGAUUCCAACGAGAUUUAUCUGAGCCGACACAUUAAGAAGCGGCGUCGGAUUAAAAGAAAUACUACCCUUCUGAUUAGAAUAACCCUUCUGAUUAGAAUAACGCCCGAAAAACGGGCCGAUUGUCAGUAUCUGGAUUUGCAAUUGGAUAUUUAUCCAAGACCUCCGAAGUUGGUCCGGUACAGCUGUCAUGAGAAGCGUCAGAUCUUCGGACAGAACCGAAACGCUGUAUGGAAGAUUCUCUUCGGUGUUCUCUAAUUUCGGGAAUUUCAAGAAAGACUUUUUCACUGCGGAUUGGAUUUUAGAAGGCUCGUACUUCUCGAGUACUGACGUGGCGGCUUCGAUCUUCGAGUACUCGUAGUGGGCCCCGGAGCUCCACUGCUCAGUGGACUCCACGGGCUUCUCGAACGCUAAAGGGGAGUACGAUCUGACCGUCGGAUCGAUGCUCGAUAGAGUGCCCGAGAACACGCUCCUCUGUUUUAUCGAAAACAAGAGAGGAACAUACAUAGAUAUACGAGUGUGACAUAUGUUAUCGUACGGUGAGCAUGCGACCAUGCAGAGGCGCCCCGUCUUAGGAUACCAUGCACCCUCAGCGGAGAGGGUCAUGCCGUUGAGCCCCGUACGUUGCGUCGCGGAGUAGAGCUGCUCCGAGGGGGGUACCGCUCGGAAAACCGAGGACACCCUCGUCUUCGACGAAGUAGUGUUUUCGCACCGUACAUCAUGAAAAACGAGCUUCACGUUUUUGAAUCCCCCAUUAGUGAAAUCGAUCUCCUUGCUCGAUACGAACGGACCCAAUUUACUACAAAACUCGUCCGUCCCAUUGCAGUUAAAGUUCGGUAAAACGGUGAAUUGUUCUGUGAAUUGUUCUUGACGGGAGAAUCUAUCGAGCACCCCACAAAAGUCAACCCCUUUGUACACAUCAUCAACAGUUUCGAUUUCAUCACUCAUCGAAUCGCAAGCCCUCGACACGAGAUCAUCGGAAGCGAACUUAUAGUUCGCGGACCCCAACGAGGAGGAAACAAGAACUUCGUCGAAGUACUUGAGGUCCGAUUCUCGGUUCAAACUCUUGAUGCUUCCGUAUAUUUCUCUAGUCCUCAAACUCAACGCCUUAGGGUAACGGAGCUCGAAUAGAAUCCGGUCGUCCGGCGCGAGAACCGGAUGAAUACUAUCGCCGUUUUCCUUAACCCACGGCCACGGAUCGUUCGAGUGGGGCCCACGCGAAGGCAGCACCGCACUCCCCAACAAACACAUUACUCUCUCUCCCCCCAAUUCAGUGUAGACUCCUUGGAACCGAAUCGACAGCUGCGAGUUUCCGGGCCACAUGUCGAAUUUCGGGGUUUCGUCGUCGGGUUUCUGGAGGAGCAUGUUUGAUAUGGCUGUGCUGAUCUGUAAGAACCCGCUAACGGGUAUGGAUUUCUUGGAAUAACGGUGAUUCGGGUCAACAUUGGUGACCCAGAACGAGACCAGGUUUAAUGAGUUAACGGCGUUUUUGUAACCCGAAAGGUCUCCGUCGUAGAACGGCAUCAAUGGAGCAAAAGCUCGACCCGACCCGUUUGAGAGCGGCUGCCACCAAUCGCCGUUCGAGAAGGAGAGUUCCUCUUUGAUGGUGUACAGUCUGCUGUCGUCGGGUUUGAGUUCCUCGGCGGAUUGUAAGAGAGAGGCGCACUCUUUGUUAACCUCACCCAUGCGGUCAUAGUUGUAGGUGACGGUACGCUGCUUGUUUCCGUUACCGUCGAAUCCGCCGACGCCAUUGUUUGCAUAGUUGUACGAGUUCGCGAAACCGAUGCAUAGCAGCAACACAAACAGAGUACACGAUGUUGCAGAAUUUAUAGAACACGUCAUAGUAAUAAAACAGUUUGAAUAUUGCUGUCGGAAUUUCUCCGGCAACAAUGAAAGUGAAGUGAUUUCUCAGAUUGCCCACAAGAAUUGAAAUAAAAAUGAAAUCUUUAGAACAACCCAGAUAAAAGAUUUUUGACGAUAUUAGACUUACCGAGAAAUUAGUGGGAGUAAUUAGUGGGAUCAAGAUUCGAGAUUUUUGGAAGAGAAGUGUUGGAUGUUCAAAGUCAAAACGAUUCAAUUUUAAGACAAGUAUGGUGAUUUUAGUCAACGUGCCAGUUCUAAUUUUCUUUAUUUGGGUAAAUUACGCCCACACCCCUGAAAUAUUGGUAAUUACAGUCAUACCCCUGAAACAAUUAUGGGAGCCAAGAUUUCGAAUCUUGGGGUCUGAUAUGAACUAUAUUUGUUUUCUCUAGCGCCGUUAAGUCUACCAUAGAAGAAAAUUUAUAAAUCUUAUAUAAAAUAAUAAGAAUUUAAGAAAUAUUGUGAUCAUUGUUCUGAAACUAGUAGUCCGUUAGAAGCCUAAUGUAUGCUUUUCUAACAAUGUUUUAGUGAUAAUUGUAAUUAUUGAUACUACAGGGAUCAUAAAGUUAUUUUAGCAUACCUCGGGGUGAAAGUGUGAUAUACCUUUUUUAUUUAUUAUUUAUUUUUUCUCUCCAUUUUUUUAAUCAUUUUCCUCACUCAUUCAUAUACACUUAACUUGGGAGUUGAGGAAUAUUUUAUGUUUGAUAGGACUAUCAUAUUGGGUAGUUGUACUUAAUGAGAGGUUACCCACAUUAAAUUAUAUAAUUAAUCUGGCAUCAAGCAAAUUGCAAAUUUAUUUAGUUCUGGAUCCAAUCUAAUUUUAUUUAAGGGUAAAUUCACUUUUCCCUUGUAUUUUGACUCGAUAUCAUUUCAUCUUCGUAAACUUUCAAUUGCUUGAUUUGCUCUCUUGUACUUUGGUUCGAUAUCACUCUACCCCUUCUACUCUUCAUUCAUCGAUUUGUCCACUUGUACUUUGGCUGAAUAUCACUUUACCCCAUUCUACUCUCAAUUGCAUCGAUUUGCCCUUCUACAUGAAAAAUUGUCUCAGUGUGGCCCUCACCGUUAGUUUUCAGACUUUUGACCUUAACAACGUUUGAUCUAAGUUUGAAAAUUACAAAAAAGUCACCCCUCCCAGUUUAAAUAAUUAUUAAUAAAAUAAAAUAAUAAUAAAAAUUGUGUCAAAGGUCUGACAUUUUAAUAAUUAUUUAAACUGGAGAGGUGACAUUUUAGUAAUUUUCAGACUUAAAUCAAAUGGUAUUAAGGUCUAAGGUCUGAAAAUUAACGGCUAGGGCCACAUUGAAACAUUUUUUCAAGUACAUGGGGCAAAUCGAUGCAAUUGAGAGUAGAAGGGGGUAAAGUGAUAUCGUACUAAAGUACAAAGGGGCAAAUCGAUGAAUUGAGAGUAGAAGGGGGUAAAGUGAUAUCAAACCAAAGUACAAGGUGAAAAAUCGAUGCAAUUGAGAGUGGGUAAAGUGAUAUCCAACCAAAGUAAAAUGGGGGGAGGGGGAGUGGAAUUUACCCUUUAUUUAAUCAAAGUCAAUUUUCAGGAAAAAUACAAAUUACAUCCCUCGAGUUUGUACCGAUUUCACAUUUGGUCCUCUAAUGUUCGCAUAAAAUACAUUUGGUCCCUCAUGUUUCAAAAAUUCAAAAUUUUUAGUCAAUUUUACGUUAGUAAUAACGGAAUCAAGCAUGUGUCCAACACUGUCUUAACCGACAGACUAACGGUAAAUUGACGAAAAUGACCAAAAUUGUUAAAUUAUUGAAACAUGAGGGACUAAAUAUAUUUUUUGUGACCUAAAUAUGAAAUUAGUGCAAACUUUAGGGAUGGAACUGUAUUUUUCCCUCAAUUAUCAUAUAAACAGGGGCAUACCCAUGCUUAUGGCUGGGGUGGGCCCCCGCCCCCCAAGAUUUUUUUUAAGCUGUUUUUUUUUUCUUUGGUAUUUAUGUAUUAGUUAAUGCAUUUUCGCCCCUCCAAACUUUUAAUUUUGUACACUUUAGUCCUCAAAAACAAAAACAAAAUCCUCUCUUAAAUUACUCCUAUAUUUCAGCCCCCAAGAAAAGCCCCCUAAGUCCGCCCCGCAUAUAAACAUAUUUAUGUAUGUGCUCAAGCAUAUACAAGUUCAGAAAAGAUUCCUAUUUUAAACUGGGCCUCUUUGAGAAAGCCCCCAAAUUACUUUUUUUAAUUGGGAGAGGCCCAAAUUAUUUUUUUCCAUUUGAGAAAAACCCUCACCCAUUUCUAACCACCUUUAUUUCCAAUUUUGACCCCGCCCACUCCACAUCACCAGCCCGCUCCACGCUCAUAAGCCUUUUCUUCUUUUCCUUUUUUCUUUUUUUUUUCUAUUUUUUUUUUGUAGUUUUUUUCCGAGUCAGUUUUAUUAAUCGACUAUGAAGCAUAGUCGAUUAAGGAAGCAUAGUCGAUUAAGGAAAUAUUUUAAUUUUUUUUUAUUUUUUUAUUUUUUCUAAUUUUGUUUUUAAAUUUUUUUUCGUUUUUUUUUUCUCUAUCGGGUGUAUUAAUGCAUAGUCGAUUAAAAUUGUAACUAUUAAAAAUAACAAAUCACAAUUACAAAAAAAUGCAAAAUCAACUAUACUUAAAAAAAAUAUACAAACAUUGAAAUUGAUUUAUACAUUUGAAUCAAUAAACAAAAAAAAAAAAUAAAAUAACAACUGGAGUCGGUUAACCUUAAUCGACUAUUGAACAUAGUUGAUUAAACCACAAGUAGUCGAUUAAGGGCCCUGCCUACGCGAAUUUCUUUUUCUGCGCCGUCUUCCGCCACAAUCCACCAAAAACCCUAGAUCUGCUAUUCAUCGUCACCACGUCGUCGCCACACCACACCAUCACCACCCCACUUCCUAUAAAAACAAUCAAAACAGAACCAUGUACUACGGUCAAAAUCACCAAACCAAAGCCACCUAUAUCAAAAAAUAUGCAGCAAAAUUAGAUUAAAAAUCAAUAACAAAUAAGUACAAUGAAGCAAAACUACCUUGAGUGCGUAUUUUGCAGCCCCCGUACAACUCUGAAAUUUCUAUCUGCAAUUAGAUUCCCGAUCGAUCUCCAAUUUUCAAAUCUCAAACCAGAAACAACGGCAACUAACACUACUCCAGGAAAUCAAAACCAUAAAUAAAAAGUAAAUCUUAGAAAUAGAAGAACGUGCGCAUCUCCUCCGGUGUGGAGACUCCCCUCGAAGCUCCAAUCGCCAAACCUCCGCCCGCGCCGCCUUCUACCAUCGCCCCAUAGUCGGACCGCCACCAAACACACAGAUCAGAUCUACAAGAAGGAAAAAAAAAAAGAGAAAAAGAGAUGAGAGUGGGAAGAGAUGAAAAGAGAAAAAGAAAAAAAACGGCGUAAAACAUAAUUAGGGUUUUGAAAGAGUAUAUUGGACAAUUAAGGGUAAAUUUGGAAUUAUGAAAUAAUAUUUGGAUAGAAUAUUAGGUAAGGGGGUUUUAUCUAAUUAUUUUUGGGAGGGGUAUUUCUUUAACUAUAUUUCCUAGAUGGGGUUUUUUCUCUAAUUAUCCCUUUAAACUGAAACGACAAAGUAAUUAUUUUUCUACACAACUAAAAACAUCUUUGAUUUAUUUAAUUUUAUUUAUCAAAUAAUUCUUUUCAAUUUUGAGAUUGGUACGUGAGAAAGAAAAAUAGAUACACAUGAAGGAAAUAAGCUCCAUAGAUAGAUAGAUAUCUUCAUUCUUCACUUAUACUUAUUAGAUCAUCCAUAAACGAAGCUCGAUAAUAGAUAAUCGCGAUUUCGUAACGCGAUUAACUUAUCUCCUCUGGAAAUUCAAUGUCAUGACGGCAAACGCGAAAACAAACGCAAACAAAACUUCAAAUCCAGCGACCAUAAGAGCGACCACACCGAUAAAAUCGUGUCUGAAACCAAAGUAACUUGCCAAGAACUCUUGAACAGGUUGCUUCGUAAUUUCCAGCUCAUCUCUUACGUCUCCAAACUGUGACGUAAGUAAACCGUAAAGUGUCCUCUGUCGUGAAACAAUUACGAAAAGAAAAGAAAAAAAAGAAAUUCGAUUAGUCUUUCUUUCACUAUAUAUAUGUUCCUGUGGAUGGUAGUAGGAUGGUAGUAGGUACAGAAAUCGGACGGAUCGGAUCAAAAUUAGCAGUUUUGAAAAAAAAUUAUUUCUUUCUAAGUGAAUAAACUAAUUCCAAUUUCCUCGCCUAACUGCAUUUUAUUCACUGACUGAGAAAUUAUGAAUCACGCGACUACAAAUAGAAUCCGUGCUAUCGUACGAAGCCAAUGCAAUUAUAAUCAAGAAUCAGCCAAUAAUUAAUUAACAACAAGAUUAAAAAAAAAAAAGAAGCAAGUAAUUAAAAACACUAAUCCAUAACAUUGAUAACUCACACUUGUUGGAGGAUUAAGAUAAUUAAUCUUAAUUAAUGACUGCUCUCUGUAAUGUAGAAUCGCCGUUUACGCCAGAUGCCAGCUCAGCUUCGAACGAGAGAGACGACGGCAGUCUCUCGUAAACUCUCGAGCCCAAAGGCAGAAGCUUCGCCUGCCUCGCAAUGAGCUUCCCUCUAAGCUUCUCGUAAUUCCACCUCUGCUGAACAUAAACAAUUACCGCCAAAAUAACCGAAAAAAUCGGAAUAGCAACGUCGCCGAAUUUGGAAUAAAAAUCCGUUUGAGGGUUAAAAUACUCGUAUUCGUCGUUGGAGUAGUUAUAAGGAUUACUCGGGAAAGGCGAUUUUACGAAAUCGUACACGUGCGGAAAAAUCCGAACAAGAGUUAAUCCAAUGUAGUACAUUUUCCUCAGGGGCUUAACUUGGAUCAUCCAUAGCAAGUUCCCGAUUACUUGCGGAAGAAGGAAGAAAUCUUGCAUCAAACCGACGUACUCCACCAGCUCAGCCUCCCAUGCGCUGACGGGGCGAGAAUAUUCGUUAGAAUCUACGAAAGAUUCUCUUUGAUACCUCGUGGUUUUAUAGUGUACGAUGAGAGCGAGUAUAUAUCCAAUAAUGUGUAUAAUUGAAGUAGCGAAAAGGACUUUUUUGUCGUUCGGGACUCGGUGCGGCUCUAACGGGGAUCUAGUCAGCAUUCGUACACGGGAUUUCCAUACUUUCUGACAAAGCCUCAUAGUUGACAAAAACGCAACCAGCACUAAUAAUUUCACCAUAUAGUCGAUGACGUGAAACGGUUGGCCUUUCUGCAAAUUCUCGAAUCCCGUUUUUGCUAUUUUACCGAAAAGGGCCUCGGCCCCCGUGAUCAGCGGUAGGCCGUAGCUAAUCGCUUGCACUCCAAGCAUCACGAGCGAUACGUACGGGACAUUUACGAUAUUACCCCUCACGUAGAAGAGCUGGCUCGAUAUACAUCCGAUAGCCAAAGACAGCGUCGCGAUGCGGAGGAUCCCUUCCACGCCCCGUCUCGAAAGAAUAUCCUCCCGUUGAUUCCGGUACAAAACGGGGGCUGUGUGGAUUUUAAUCGGAUUGAAAUAAAGAGGGUCGUCCUUUUCCCGUUGGCUGAUCACGGAAACUUUGGCGGUGGGGUCCACCAGCCAACGGUCGGUGGUCGGGGGUAGGAAAUUACGACUUCGACCUUACAAUCGAGCCCCUUCUCCGCGAGGUCCACGCAACCAAUAAGAUACAUUUUCCCGAAAAGUGAAUUGUAGAUUCCCUCUACGGAUAUCAAAGAGUAGUUGUACGCGUCGAUUCCAACGAGAUUUAUCUGCGCUGACACAUUAAGAAGCGGCAUCGGAUUAAAAGAAAUACUACCCUUCUGAUUAUUAGAAUAACGCCCGAAAAACGGGCCGAUUGUUAGUAUCUCGAUUUGCAGUUGGAUAUAUAUCCCAGACCUCGGAAGUGGGUCCGCUACGGCUCUCAUGACAAGUUUCAGAUCUUCGGACAGAACCGAAACGCUGUAAGGAAGAUUCUCUUCGGUGUUCUCUAAUUUCGGGAAUUUCAAGAAAGACUUUUUCACUGCGGAUCGGAUUUUAGAAGGCUCGUACUUCUCGAGUAGUGACGUGGCGGCUUCGAUCUUCGAGUACUCGUAGUGGGCCCCGGAGUUCCACUGCUCAGUGGACUCCACGGGCUUCUCGAACGCUAACGGGGAGUACGAUCUGACCGUCGGAUCGAUGCUCGAUAGAGUGCCCGAGAACACACUCCUCUGUUUUAUCGAAAACAAGAGAGGAACGUACAUAGAUACACGAGUGUGACAUAUGUUAUCGUACGGUGAGCAUGCGACCAUGCAGAGGCGCCCCGUCGAAGGAUACCACGCACCCUCGGCGGAGAGGGUCAUGCCGUUGAGCCCCGUACGUUGCGUCGCGGAGUAGAACUGCUCCGAGGGGGGUACCGCUCGGAAAACCGAAGACACCCUCGUCUUCGACAAAGUAGUGUUUUCGCACCGUACGUCGUGAAAAACGAGCUUCAAGUUUUUGAAUCCCCCAUCAGAGAGAUCGAUCUCCUUGCUCGAUACGAACGGACCCAAUUUACGACAAAACUCGUCCGUCCCAUUGCAGUUAAAGUUCGGUAAAACGGUGAAUUGUUCUGUGAAUUGUUCUUGACGGGAGAAUCUAUCGAGCACCCCACAAAAGUCAACCCCUUUGUACACAUCAUCAAUAACUUCGAUUUCGCCAUUCAUCGAGUCGCAAGCCCUCGACACGAGAUCAUCGGAAGUGAACUUAUAGUUCGCGGACCCCAACGAGGAAGAAACAAGAACUUCGUCGAAGUACUUGAGGUCCGAUUCUGGGUUCAAACUCUUGAUGCGUCCGUAUAUUUCUCUGGUCCACAAACUCAACGCCUUAGGGUAACGGAGCUCGAGCAGAAUCCGGUCGUCCGGCGCGAGAACCGGGUGAUUACUAUCGCCGUUUUUCUUCACCCACGGCCACGGAUCGUUCGAGUGGGGCCCACGGGAAGGCAGCACCGCACUCCCCAACAAACACAUUACUCUCUGUCCCCCCAAUUCAGUGUAGACUCCUUGGAACCGAAUCGACAGCUGCGAAUUCCCGGGCCAUAUAUCGAAUCUCGGGGUUUCGUCGUUGGGUUUUUGGGGGAGAAUGUUUGCUAUGGUUGUGCUGAUUUCUAAGAACCCGCUAACGGGUAUGGAUUUCUUGGAAUAACGGUGAUUCGGGUCAACGUCGGUGACCCAGAACGAAACCAGGUUCAAUGGGUUGAUGAAAUUAUAGCCGUCGUAGUUGAAUGGCAUUAAUGGAGCAGCAGUUCGACCCGACCCGUUUAAUAAGCCCGGCUGCCACCAAUCGCCGUUCGAGAAGGAGAGCUCUUCUUUGAUGGUGUACAAUCUGCUGUCGUCGGGUUUGAGUUCCUCGGCGGAUUGUAAGAGAGAGGCGCACUCUUUGUUAACCUCACCCAUGCGGUCAUAGUUGUAGGUGACGGUGCGCUGCUUGUUUCCGUUACCGUCGAAUCGUCCGCCAUUGUUUGCAUAGUUGUACGAGCUCGCGAAACCGAUGCAUAGCAGCAACACAAACAGAGUACACGAUGUUGCAGAAAUACAACACGUCAUAAUAAUAAUAAUAAUAAAACAGUUUGAAAUUACUGUCGGAAUUUCUCCGGCAACAAUGAAAAUGAAGUGAUUUCUCAGAUUGCCCACAGGAAUUGAACUAAAAAUGAAAUCUUUAGAACAACCAGAUAAAGAUUUUUGACGAGAUUAGACUUACCGAGAAAUUAGAGGGAUCAAGAUUCAAGAUUUUUGGAAGAGAAGUGUUGAUGUUCUGUUCGUAUAGUCAAAACGAUUCAAUUUUAGGACAAGCAUGGUGAUUUUAGUCAACGUACCAGUUCUAAUUUUCUUUAUUUGGAUAAAUUACGCCCACACCCUUGAAGUAUUGGUAAUUACAGUCACACCCCUGAAACAAUUACAGGAGACAAGAUUUCAAUCUUGGGGUCUGAUAUGAACUAUAUUUGUUUUUCGUGGGGCCGUUAAUGAUACUACUUACGGAAAUUUAUAAAUCGUAUAUAAAAUAAUAAGGAUUUAAGAAAUGUUGGGGCCACUGCUUUGAAACUAAUACUCCGUUAGAAUCCUAAUAAAAUAACUUAUCUGACGUAUUAUUUUGUUAGAGUUUCUAACAAUGUUUUAGGGGUAAUUAUAACUAUGACAGAUGAAGAAGAAAGCUGAUGAACACCAAACCAUUCACCAUCUUUGGUUUUGAUCUCCAAACCGUCAACUUGGUUCUGAUGGAUUGUAGACAUAAAACUCUUGUCUGUAUGAGACACAAAUCCCAUGUUAUUUUCAUUCGACUUAGGUUCUCUAUAUUUCAUUACCCUGCAAAGAUAGUUUGCUGAACCGAUGAGGGAUUCGUAGUGCUUCCCCACUCCGUAUCUCUCGAACACCAUCUGCACGACAAUUUUCUCUAGUUCUGCUGCUAACUUUGUGUACCAAACGAGUUUCUCACUGCGCCCAAAAAAAAAUUGAGUUAUACGGUAGAACAUCGAUAAAUUAAUGAAAUAACAUCGCGUGAAUAAUUUAUUUGGGUCCCGACUCGGUAUAAACAUACUAAAAUAUUAGUUCAAUAAUUUAAUAUUUCACUAUAUUAAUAGAAUUUUGUUAGUCGCGACUGUAUUAAUUUAUAGAGGUUUAAUUGUAUCCAGGCUUUUGAUAAUGGAAAUAAUACAGGGAUUUUUUUUUUUUUGUAACAAUUGUAGUAAAUAUAGGGGAGUUAGAUGCUACAUCUGGUUACUUACACUGGGAGGAUUUGAAUCAUUGAUUUGAUUAAAUAAUUACCCACUGAACAAUGUGUGUAUGAAUAUGUGUAAAUCUAUGGUUCAAAUUCACUGACUGUAAAUAACCAGGUAUAGCAUUUAAUUUCCCGUACAAAUAGGGAUUCAGAAUGCGCGAAUGCGCAGAUAUAGUUACUACAAGCUAGUAAAACAUCCUUAAUUUAUCCUCAAUUUCUAGACAAGGAAAAUCAAAAGUACACUAAAAAUAUAAGCGAAAAAUGCGUACCUGAAAUCGUUAUUUCCAUUAGGCCACAUAACUUUGGCGAAAUUCUGGAUUCCUUGGAGGGUAUCGGCAUCAUCGAUACCCAUACUUUCGUAGAGAGGAAUGAAUGGGAUUUGGCCGACAUAGCCGUAUAAUGGCUUAGUGGAUUUGUUUUGGACUUUGGUUUGAGUUGGGAGAUCAAACAAUUCUUCUAGGGCUUGAAAAACUGUAGUGUGUGUUUCUUGGGUGAGUUUAUCAUAUGAUGCCACAAAACAACCAUAUUUUUCGAGUGCAGAGACCACUUCGUCGCAUGUUUUGGACCAUGAUUCUGUCCCGGGUUUCGAGUUCUUGUCUGAGAAUUCAAUGACAUCAAGUUUGUGUUCUUGUGAGAGAGAACCCAUAUGAUAGUUAGUGUGUGUGUGUGUGUGUGUGUGAGAGAGAGAGAGAGA
rnacentral:lncRNA from 1 species